rnacentral:lncRNA from 1 species
UCAUGAAAAGUCUUAGAAAUACCUGCUUGAUCUUUGUGAAUCAACCAUACAGGAGCAUUAGAUAAUAAGGGCAAUCCUAUGGGUAUGUAUGCUAUGUUUCCAACUUCAUUUGAGAGAGUGAGAGUCUUAGUUUUAUCCACAAGUUAAAUGAUUAGAGUGCAGUGGAUUUCUUUGACUGUGAGGGCAAUUUGAGUUAUACUUAGUUGCUAAUUUUACUCAGAUAUUGUGUCUUUGGUUAUGUAUAUGCUGAAUUAUAAAUAAUGCCAAGUAUGGAUCCUGGUGUGUUGAGACCACAUGAGUAAGAUGAUAGUUGAAUGAUUGUAAGGAGUCUAGUUCAAUGGUUAAAUGCUUAUCAUUGUGUUGUUCAUGUAUGCGAUUUGGUGUUGAGUUGCUUGAGGACAAGCAAUUGUUUAAGUUGAGGGUGUUGAUGUUCUGUCUUUUGAUGGAAUAUUUUAUAUCUUAUACAAGGGAUAAUUGUGCAUUUUCAAGUGACUAUUGUUUUAUUAGAUACUUAGAUUUUAGUGUUUUUAGGGCAAGGACUUAGAUGGAGAGAGAACUUGGAAAAGCAGCAGAAAAGGGCGUUGAUGGUCAAAUUGAUGAAUCGUCAACCAGGUGAUGGACCAUCAGGGAGCUCAUCAGUAAUAAGCAGAAGCUUUAGAGUUACAGACCCUUGUGAUGGUCCAGUUUACAGACCGUCAGUCCCAUGAUAGGCCGUCAACCUGAUCGUCAGAUUAGAAACAGAAAUCAUCAUACUGAGGAAUGAAGCGACGGUCCAGGUAAUGGACCGUCAGUCCCUUGAUAGGCCAUCAGCCUAGCCAUCAGAGCUAAAAAAGAAUACAACAUCACUGGACGUGUUGCGAUGAACCCAGGAAUAGACCGUCAGGGACUUGACGUGCCGUCGACUCAUCCGUCAACCUUGAUGCGGUAAUCUAAGUUUUGAAUUUUAAAACCCUAAUCCCUGGAAGCACAUAAAUACCCAGUUUAUGUUUUAUUUUAGGUAUCUUUAUCAUAAUUUCAUCUUUUGAAACUCAUUGUAACAUCGUAUUCUCUGAGACUGAAGCUACUAUUGUGGAUCUAGCCAUUUUAUUCAUAUUCUCACUAAAGAUUCAAGAAUAUUAUUGGAACUUUUUUAAGUAAUUCUAUGAAUUUAUUUAUGAAUAACACAAUAACUAUUUCAUCUUCUCUUGAUAUGUGUGGCUAAGCUCCCAUAACUAGGGUUAUGGGAUCCUUGAGGUGAAUAGCUGAUUGGGGUUGUGAAAAUACUCAGUUUCCAUACUUGAUUGAGAUUGUAUAAGCCCUUCUUCAUACUAACGACCUUCCUUGGUUGCAAACUCGAAGGGUGAGCCCGAGAACAUCAUUUGUUUGAGUAGAAAAUUGCAGGUUGGGAAAAGAAGAGGUUUACAUAGAAUCUAAAGGCUUUAACCUUUAGGUUAUAGGUUGAUGCCUUAACGGGAUUAACCCACAUGAGAGAUUAAUUGAAUGAUCCAAUGUAUUCUUCAAGUUUGAAAGAAUUGAAGGAUAAACUACCCAUUUAGGUUGAGAAACAAUUGAGUAAAAUUUUAAAUUCAAUAAAUUUUACAAUCAAAUUCAUAAAUUGGAAACUUAAGAUAAAUCACAACCCCGGCUGCUUGAACUUUUUGGUGAACAUAACUGUAGUUUGUAUACUCUCAUUAACUUAUCACUUGCAAUAAAACUCACUAGUUGGAACACUAUUUGUUGUAAACAUUUGAAUACUGUUACUUUGUUAAAAAUCCCUUUAAUCUGGAACCUUCGAUCAACAAUAUGUUAAAGACCAUAACACUUAGUUUGUAUAGUAUUCCCUGUGGGAUUCGACCCCAACCUAGUUGGGUUCUAUAUUUGACAGUGACCGCUUACACUUUCUAAUGAGAUUUGUAAUUUAAGCGUAUCAACCCGCCUGAAAUGUGAUAGACCAAUUGAUUUCAAAUAUAAAAAUCUUUACAGAAAGAGAGGAGCAAAUGAUCAAGAUGGUUUUGAUAAUGAGGCAAGUGCUUUAAAAAAACACUAUGACAUAACACUUCAUAAAACCUUGGCAAAUGUUCUGGUACUGAAAAAUGAUAAAAUAAAGAGAUUUUGAUAAGUUAUGUUUGACUAGAAUUGAUAUCAAAUAACCAUCAAUAGUGUUUUUGAUAUAAUAUAGCACUCACUAGUAUACAUGGUAAUGAGCAUCUUGAAUUUAAAGCUGUCAAAUAGUGUGGACAGAUAAAAUACGCAAUUCAAAUAUAUUAUGUUUCACUUGAAAAGUGAUAUUUUGAAAUUAAUCCAUAGACUAAGGUAAAAUACCAGUGGGAUACAAAUCGGUAAUUGUGUAAAAAGUAAAAACGUAAGAUAUAAAAUACGACUUGUGCCUUGAGGCAUAAAGGGUAUUCGUAAAGUCCUGACAUUAUUGUUUGGAGAUGUGUUCUCCUAUGGUGGAUACAAUAUGGUUUCUGUAAAUUUGGUAAUGUAUUAAAAUCUUGAAUGCAUAUAACGAAUGAUUUUUAUGUCUAGCUAGACGACAAAUGUUAUAGAAAAAUCCUUAAAGGAUUUAAAAGAGAUUCUAUCCAUUGAAUAUUACAAUGGUUGCGAGAUCUCUUAAAAUAAAGGAAGAUCAAUUUUCAUCUCAUGAAAAUGGUUAGAAAAUACCAUGUACUAGUCCAAUUAUUGCACUUAUGUAUCCUGUUAUUCUAUACAUGAGAUAAUAGUUUUUAUUAAUGUGCAAAAAAGAUAUAAAUUUCAUUUUUAUGUGAAUGUGAGUGAAAUCAAAUAUUAUUGAUCUGAAAUUAUUAUUUCUAACAAAUAUUGUCAAAGGUUUGCUGGUUAUGCAAAUGCAGGAAGAAUAUUCGAUCUACGAUCAAUUUUAAUAUCAUGCAAAUAAAGUUUCCACAGCUAAUUGAUUGUUGUUACGAACAAGCUCAAUGUGCAAAUGACUUGCGACAAUAAGGUCACAUAUAAAGUGAUUUUUAAGAAUUUAUAUGACUGAGUUCAUGGGUUUAUUAUAUUGAAGAAACAAAAAAACAACACAUCAGGACGAUUUCAAGAAUGCAACAUCUUCAUGAAUGUGAUUUGAUCAUAACAAAACAAUCAAUAUCAAUAUAUGAAAGCAGACAUCUAAGAUUGGAGGUGUUGUCUUUGAGAAGUGAAAUGAUGUUUGCAUCAGGGGGAAUGAAAUACGCGUUGCACUCUUUUUUUCUUGGCCUAGGUUUGUCCCAAUGUGUUUUCCUAGAAAGAUUUUUAAUGAGGCAGCAAACAAACGCGUAUGAUAAGAUAUGUGUACUCUUUUUCUUUCACUAGAUAUUUUUUUCCCAUAGGAAUUUUUUUUAGUAAGGUUUUAACGUGACACAUCAUCUGUGGACAUCCAAGGGGGAGUGUUAUAAAACUAAUAAGUGUGGAUGUCCACUACACUUCCACUAGUUUUCUCAAUUAUUCCCCUCUAUUAUGAAGAUAACCUCCAUCAUCCAUGACCAUUAUUCUGUGACCUUACACAUAUAUAACCUACCUCAUUAUGUUAAUGGUUAAUGUCAUGUUUGACAACCUUUUGCAUGCCUUUAAAUGACAAUAUAAAUAGAGGCAUAAGGUUCAUUGUAUAUACUUGAAAGACUUAUACACUUGAUACUUGGAAGAAUGAAAAGAUCUCAUCUGUGAUCUUGUAUUCUUAUGCCUACUUCUUCUUUUAUAUUGCCACUCUUUUAGAUUAAGUUUAACAGGUUUCACAUAUUUUGUUGUUGUAUGUGCUAAUAAAUUGUGUAUUUGCUGUAUUUAUUGUUCUUGUUGUGGUGUGUGCUUUUAAAUAGGUAUUAUUGGUGAGAAAAAUAUGUUCUUGUUACUGUACUCAGGGCCGGCUCAACGGAAUUCGUGGACUAGAGCCAGCUUUAAAAAGAAUGCCUUAAAUUUAAUUGAUAAAAUUAUAAGUAUUUUUAUUUGAUUUCUUUUCUUUUUAUUUUAUAGUGAUGGUGUACAUGUCAUCUUGUACGUAUAUUGACUAUUUAUGUGACUAAAUGUUAGUAUUUAUUAUAUAGUUUUUGAACUAGAUGUUAGUUUUUGAACGUUUAGGUUUUAAAAUAUUGUAUUGAUCUAAUCUUAUUUAGCUUACAAAAUUAGGCAAAUUAAUUGUUAGUUAGUAUUUAUUAUAUAGUUUUUGAACUAGAUGUUAGUUUUUGAACGUUUAGGUUUUAAAAUAUUGUAUUGAUCUAAUCUUAUUUAGCUUAAAAAAUUAGGCAAAUUAAUUGCCAGAGCAAAAAAACACAUGAAUUGAAACGGAAGAAAUAUUUAUUUGAAUAAUAUCUAAUUAUGUCUAAAUAAACUCUGUAAAAUACCAAAAGACAAGCAUAAAUCUUGUUCUUUUUAAGAAAUAAUGAUACUAAUUCUAUAAUAUAUAUUCUAUAGUAUUAAAUAUUAAUGAAAAUAUGGGGACUUUUAUUUGGAGGCCUAAAGUCAUAGAUUUAGUUGCUUCCCCUUAAGUCGGCAUUGAUUGUACUUAUUGUCGUCAUGAUGUAAUAAAAUAGAGGUCUCCAUUCUAUUUGAUGUUUUCUAAUAGCUAAGGUGGUUGUAGCAACCGUAAAACUUAUUUGAAUAAAUCAAACAGUUGCUAACAUUGUAGUAGUAAAUUGUUGCAGCAACCUCAGCGGUUGUAUAAUAAAGUUGAAGUAGUUGAAUAACAAUCAAGUAAUUGCUAAGGUUUUCGGAACAUGUCUAUUGAAUUUCUAUGACAACGACUCACCUAUUGGAAAAAUUUCCAAUUAUUGAGGUUGUUACAACAAGUUUGUUGAAGUGCUGCAAUAAGACACUCAAUUGUUGAAAAAAUCAAUAGUUGUUGAGCUAGUCACAACAAGUCAUUGAAUUAAUAUAACAAGUUGAAAAGAUCUAAGCUGUUAUGAGGGAUUUGAAGCCAACUGUGAAGCUUAUCAACCUCUCUAGCUUUUCAUGAACUUGCAUCGUAAACUUUAUUUAAUGAUUUUCUUAAAAAAAAUUAGUUUUUUUAUUAUUCUAAUCCUCUGUCACAUUAUUUUGUUAUAGUCUUGAAUAUUUGAAGCUAUUACUCACUUUAGCAUCAAGUUAAGGUGUUCUGAUAAAAAGUGUUAUCUCUAUUAUUCUUCAUAGCUGUUCUGAGAAAAAGUGUUAUCUCUAUUAUUUUUAAAUGGCUGGCUAUGAAGAACAACAAAGUUGUUAUUGUUGUCGAUCUAUUUAAACUCCUUAAAGAUUUCGUAAGCCUCAUUCUACAUUUAUUACCCUUGAAAUUUAUCGUGACAGACAAGUCAGAUUACUUGUUUGAAUCUGUUGUCUCAACAACUUUGAACUUGUUGCAACAACUUUUAAACUUGUUGAAUAUUAUUCAUCAAAUUGAUUAGUUGUAUAACAGAUUUAAAGUUUUUUGCAGUAGUGAUUUGUGUUUAAUUAAUUUUAAAAAUCAAUGGAUUCUGUAUUUGGAUUCAGAAUUGUCUCAAAAAAAUUACACAUCAUGUUGGAAAUAAAUUAACUUUCAAUAAGCAGUUACUGAUACAUCAAUAAAAUUUUAUGAACCAACGGGUUCUUAUUAAAAGUUAAAAUAUUUUAAAUAUAAUUAAUUCGAUGAAUGUUCAAAUUGUCCUUGGUAGCAUUGAGUGUCAAAAUAAUUCAGGCGGCUACUAUUUUAUGUUGUCACAAUUUUUUUCUAAAAUUAAUUUAUUGAAAUAAGAUCUGAAGCUAUUGUAACUAAUUCUAUAUUUAUAUAUUCUUGUAAUUUAUUGUGACAGAAAAGUCAAUUUACUUAUUUGAAUUUGCUUCUCCAAUAGGCUUAAAUUUGUACAACAAAUUUCAUGCUUGUUAGCAAUUAUUCAGUAAAUUAGUUAGUUGUUGCAACAAUUCAUAGUUACUACAGUGGUGACUUGUAUUUAAUCAGUUUUAGAAGUCACUUGAACUUGUCUUUCGCAUUCAGAAAUGUCCCAAGGACAAAUUGCACAUUGUAGAUAGUUGUUGAUUUAUUAACAAAAUCUGAUGACUCAGCAACUACUUAUUAAAGUUGAUUCAUUUCAAAUAUUGUUGAUCAGUCAAAAUCAAAAGACCACACUGAAUGCAAAAGACAAUUCAAGUGGCUACUAUUUCAAGUUCUCACAAGUUCUUCCUAGAAUUAGUUUCUAGGAAGAACUUGCGAGAUCUGAACUUGUUGCAACUAAUUCUACAUAUAUAAGUUGAUUGAGAACCUAAAGGAGAGAAAGAGAAAAACAAACAUGAAAAAGAAGAGAAAAAAUCUGAGAAAUAGUAGUGAUAUUUAUUCAUACAACAUACAGCAAAAUAUAUAAUACAAGUGGUCUGAAAUAUCCCUCAAAACCUGAGAACAUGUCUCCUUAAGUUGUGCUGAAAUAAAGCACAACCACACACUAUAAAGCUUCUAAAAAUCUAGUAACUUACAGAAAAAAUAAUCUACAGAGAUAGCAAAAUAUCAAGACUAGAAAACUAAGUUGUAGUUAGCAUCACUGGAAAAAUAGCAUCCUUCAUCACUCCUCCUUGAUACAAGUGUUAUUGGUUACUCUAAGAUUAGCUCUAAGAAGGUCAAAUCUCUGUUUCUAUAAUGCUUUUGUAAAAAUAUCAGCUAGCUGAUCUUCACUACAGCAAUGUAGAAUCUGAUCUUGAUUCUCCCUUUUAGCUUCUCUAAUGGAAUGAUAUUUGAUUUUAAUGUGCUUAGUCUUUCCAUGAAAGACUGUAUUCUUUACCAUAGCAACUACAAACUUGUUAUCACAAAGGACUUCUAUUUCUUUGCUUGUUUAAAAUGCCAAGUCACUUAAGAUUUUUCUCAAUCAUAAAGCUUGAUUAACAUUCUUUGAGGCAGAAAUGUACUCUGCUUCAGCAGUUGAUUGAGCCACAUACCCCUGCUUCUUUGUGGACCAACAAAUAACACUUGAUACUAGAGUGAAACAAUAUUCGAAAGUUCUUUUCAUGUCAUCUUGUGACCCAGCCUAGUCACUAUCAGUGAACCCCAACAAUUUCUUAGUUGUGGCUCUUUUAUAAAACAAACAAUAAUCAAUGGUGCCCCGAAUGUACCUUAAAAUUCUUUUUGCUGCUUUGAGGUGAAUUUCAGUUGAUGAAUUCAUAAACCUUGACAACACACUUGUUAGUACAUAAUAUCAGGCCUCGUGGUAAAUAGGUACAAUAGAGAACCAAGUAAACUUCUAAAAAAUAAAGCAUCAACCAAACAAGAUUUAUCCUUUUCGUUAGUUUCUCUCCUUGAACUACAGGCGUACUUACUAGUUUGCAUUUGUCAAGGCAAAACUUCUUUAAUAUUUCGGUAGUAUAUUUUUUUUGAGCAAUAAAAAUUCCUUGAGAAGAUUGACUAACCUCCAUUCCCAAGAAAUAAGUCAUCUUUCCUGGAUCAUUCAUUUCAAAAACCUUCUUUAUUUACUCUUUAAAGUCUAUGAUAGACUUUGUGUUGCUUCCAAUCACCAAUAGAUCAUCAGCAUAGAGGGAAACUAUGAGAAAGUCAUCAGUUUGUAGUUUGAUAUACAAGGUUUCUUCAUUGCAGCUUCUAUUGAACCGCAAAUUCAGUAAGUAACUAUCAAUUCGUGCAUACCAGGCCUUAGGUGCCUACUUCAAGACAUAAAGUGAUUUUCUUAACAAGUAUACCUAAUCGCCAGAUCCUCUAAAACCUUCAGGCUUCUCUACAUAAAUUUUCUCUUUAAGAAACCCAUUAAGAAAAAUGGACUUUACGUUGAGUUGAAAUACUUGCCACCCUUGGUGUGCUGCAACUGCGAGAAGUAAUCUGGUGGUAUCAAACCUUGCAACUAGUGCAAAGGUUUCAAUAAAAUCAAUACUAUGUUGUUGGGCGUAAACUUUUACUAUUUGCCUCGCUUUGUACUUGUUGAGUGUGCCAUCCGAGUUCAAGUUAGUCUUGAACACCCAUCUAGUUCAAAGAACCUACCUACCAUGGGGUCUAGGUACAAGUACCCAUAUAUCAUUCUUGUUAAUUACAUUGAGAUCCUCCUCCAUGGUAACCCUUCAUUCUGGAAUUUGCAAUGCAUUGUCUACACUUGUUGGCUCCAAUAUAGCAAUAUUGUAUCUGCUAUAUAUAUCUUUAAUUGAUCUAGUACUUCUUACCAUGAAAUAAUCAAAAUCUUUUCCAUCUGGAAUUGACUCUUCUUCUUGGACACUUUGUUCUUAAUUAGUGAUCUGUAAAGAAGAAACAACAAUCUUCUUCCAGUCCCACAAUGCAUUCUCAUCAAACUUAACGUUUUUACUCAAAUGUAUUUGUUGUGAAAUAGGAUUUAAAAUCCUAUAGCCUUUCAAAGUGUUGUUAUAGCCCACAAAUAUUCCAACAUCGGCUUUUUGAUCAAGUUUAUCCCUUUUAACUUCGGGAAUAUAAAAGUAACAUAUGUAACCGAACACUUUAAGAUAUGUGACUGAUGGCUUGGACCCAAUCCAUGCUUCAUAUGGUGUCUUUCUUUCAAUGGCUCUUGUCAACAAUCUAUUCUGAAGAUAGACAGUGGUAUUGACAGCUUCGGCCCAUAACACCUUAGGAAACCCUUUCUAAAAUAGAAGACACCUAGCCAUAUUCAUAAUGGACCUAUCUUUUCUUUUACUUACACCAUUUUUCUAUGGUGUUUAAGUAACAGUAAAUUGAUGAUGAUUCCUGCUUUCUGAAAAAAAAUCCUUAAACCGAUUGGAAGUAAACUCAGUCCCAUUAUCAGACCUUAAGAUCUUUAUCCAAGAGCCACACUAAUUUUCAACAGUUGCUUUAAACUUUUGAAAUGCGGCAAACACUUCAGAUUUAUGCUUUAAAAAAUAAACCCAACAAAACCUUGUAAGGUCAUCAAUGAAUAAAAGAAAGUAUUAGCUACCAUUAUAAGAAAGAAUGCUCAUAGGUCCAUACACAUCAGUGUGUAUUAGUUGGAGCUUUUUAGUAGCUCGCCAGGCUUAAUUCAUAGGAAAUGGUGAUUGACUUAGCUUCCCAAUUUGACACACUCCACAUAUAUUAGAGUUUUCAUUUAUGGAAGGAAAAUCUAUCACAAGUUCCUUAUUUUGCAUUAUUUUUAAAGACUUAAAAUUGAUAUGGCCAAGCCUUUUAUGCCAGACAUAACUGUUAUCUUGUAUACCGACAUAAACUCUAAUCUCAGUAUGUUUCCAAUCAAGAGGAAAGCUUCUAUUGAGCAUUUUGACCAUAAGCAAUUUUAUACCAGUUGGAUCCAUGAUUUCACAUGCUUUAUCUUUAAAUAACAGGGCAUAAUUGUUCUCAAGAAACGAACCAACACUUAGAAGUCUUUGUCUAAUUUCAGGAAUAAAUAAUACAUCAGAGAUAAGCAUUAUACCUGAUGGAGUUUGAACAGUAACUGCUCCUUUGCCUUUUGUAUCUAAGAGUCUGCCAUCUCCAACUCUAACCUUGGAAAAAUAGUUUUUGUCCAAACGUUCAAAGUUAUUCAAGUUAGCUGUCAUAUGAUGUGUACAUCCACUAUCAACAAGCCACACAUCAUGAUCUUAAGAUGCUAUAUUGCAUUUUCUGAUAAUAGAAGCUGCAAACAACUUCUCUUCAUGAUCUUCAGCAUUUUUAGCAACUUGAGUUGUCUGCAAUUGAGCUGGUUGGGCUUGAUUUGUUUUGCAGACCUUAUCCACAUGACCAAAUUGUUUGCAUACCUUACAUUGAACUCCAGGUCUGUACCAACAAAACUUCUCCGUAUGAUUGAUCUUCUAACAAUAAGGACAAGGUGGAUACUUCGAUAUUCUCUCUCUCUUUUUGUUGUUACAUUGUUCCUUCUUCUCCUUCCCAUGUAUUCUAUUUAAUUGCCCUUUUAAUUCACUAUCAGACUUAGACUUUUGAGCUGCCAAAAGAGCAACUUCAUUUGAACUCUCUUUCUCGCUAAAAGCUUUUCUUUGCUCCAUAGCUUGAAGAGUGUUGGAUAGUUCAUAUAACGUGACAUGAGACAUAUCCCAAGUAUCUUCUAUUGAGGAGAUUUUUGCUUCGAACUUCUCUGGGAGUGUCACCAUCACCUUCUCAACAAUCCUCUGCUCUUCAACUUUUUCUCCCAAUAAUCGAAUCUGAUUAACAAUUCUCAUGAUCCUAUGAUCCUAUCAAUAUAAUCAUUCACUUUUUCAGUCCCUUUCAUUCUUAACAUCUCAAAUUCUUUUCUUAAAUUUAAUAUUUGCAUUUGUCUUGUCCUAUCACUCCCUUGAAAUUCUUGCUUUAGUAUAUCCCAUGUUUCUUUGGCAGUUUCACAUGCCAUUAUCCUUAUAAAAAUUAAUUUGGAGACGGCUGCGUGAAUGAAAGAUAAAGUUUUUGGACCUUUUGUAAUAUCUUCUUCAUGAUUUCUGAUCUAUUGAAGAUUUGGGUUUGCUCUCAAAGGUUCUGGAGCAUUGUCUUCCUCAACAUACUUCCAUUAACCAAGACCUUUCAAGUAUGUCUUAAUCUUUACAGCCUAAAUUUAGUAAUUCUCACCGUUAACUAUAGGAGGUGAAAGAAAAGAGUUGAUGUAUGUCAUGUCAAAAAGAGAACUAGACAAAAAGAGAAUUGAACAAUUUAAGCUUGUUGGGUGAUCUUUGCUGUGUUUUUUCUCAUAAAAUAGUCCUUUAAAGAUCAAUCUUGCUCUGAUGCUAAUUGAAGAAGAGAAAGAGAAAAACAGACAUGAAAAAAACAAAAAAUCUAAGAAGUGGCAGUGAUAUUUAUUCAUACAACAUAUAGAAAAAUAUAUAAUACAAGUGGUCUGAAAUAUCGCUCAAAACCUAGGAACAUGUCUCCUUAAGUUGUGCUAAAAUAAAGCACAACCACACACUAUAAAGCUUCUAAAAAUCUAGUAACUUACAGCAAAAACAAUCUACAGAGACAACAAAAUAUCAAGACUAGAAAACUAAGCUGCAGUUAGCAUCACUAGAAAAACAACAUCCUUCAUCACUCCUCCUCGAUGCAAGUUUUACUGGUUACUCUAAGCUUAGCUCUAAGAAGCUCAAAUCUCUGUUUCUAUAAUGCUUUUGUAAAAAUAUCAUCUAGCUGAUCUUCACCACAGCAAUGCAGAAUCUGAACUUGAUUUUUCCCUUUUAGCUUCUCUAAUGGAAUGAUAUUUUAUUUUAAUGUGUUUAGUCUUUCCAUGAAAGACUGGAUUCUUCACCAUAGCAACUACAAACUUGUUAUCACAAAGGACUUCUGUUACUUUUCUUGGUUGAAAUACCAAGUCACUCAAGAUUUUUCUCAACCAUAAAGCUUGAUUAACAGCCCCUGAGGCAGCAAUGUACUCUGCUUCAGCAGUUGAUUGAGCCACAUACCCCUGCUUCUUUAUGCACCAACAAGUAACACCUGAUACUAGAGUGAAACAAUAUUCAAAAGUUUUUUUCAUGUCAUCUUGUGACCCAACCCAGUCACUAUCAGUGAACCCCAAAAAUUUCUUAGUUGUGGUUCUUUUAAAGAACAGACCAUAAUCAAUGGUGCCCCGAAUGUAUCUUAAAAUUCUUUUUGCUGCUUUGAGGUGAAUUUCAGUUGGUGAAUGCAUAAACCUUGACAACACAUUUGUUAAUACAUAAUAUCAGUUCUCGUGGCAGAUAGCUACAAUAAAAACUAAGUAAACUUCUAAAAAAUAAAGCAUCAACCAAACAAGAUUCAUCUUUUUCGUUAGUUUCUCUCCUUGAACUACAGGUGUACUUACUGGUUUGCAUUUGUCAAGGCAAAACUUCUUUAAUAUUUUAGCAGCAUAUUUUUUAUGAGCAAUAAAAAUUCCUUGAGAAGAUUGACUAACCUCCAUUCCCAAGAAAUUAAUCAUCUUUCCUGGAUCAUUUAUUUAAAAAACCUUCUUCAUUUGCUCUUUAAAGUCUAUGAUAGACUUUAUGUUGCUGCCAAUCACCAACAGAUCAUCAACAUAGAGGCAAACUAUGAGAGAGUCAUCAGUUUGUAGUCUGAUAUACAAGGUUUCUUCAUUACAGCUUCUAUUGAACCGCAAAUUCAAUAACUAUCAAUUCGUGCAUACCAGGCCCUAGGUGCCUGCUUCAAGCCAUAAAGCGAUUUUCUUGACAAGUAUACCUAAUCGCCAGAUCCUUUAAAACCUUCAGGCUGCUCUACAUAAAUUUUCUCUUCAAGAAACCCGUUAAGAAAAGCAGACUUUACGUCGAGUUAAAAUACUUGCCACCCUUGGUGUGUUGCAACUACGAGAAGCAAUCUGGUGGUAUCAAACCUUUUAACAAGUGAAAAGGUUUCAAGAAAAUCAAUUCUAUGUUAUUGGGUGUAACCUUUUACGACUAGCCUCACUUUGUACUUGUUGAGUGUGCCAUCCGAGUUCAACUUAGUCUUGAACACCCAUCUAGUUCCAAGAACCUACCUAUUUUGAGGUCUAGGUACAAGUACCCACGUAUCAUUCUUGUUAAUCACAUUGAGAUCCUCCACCAUGGCAACCCUCCAUUUUAGAAUUUGCAAUGCAUUGUCUACACUUGUUGGCUCCAAUAUUGCAACAUUGCAUCUGCUAUAUAUAUCUUUAAUUGAUCUGAUACCUCUUACCGUGAAAUCAUCAGAACCUUCUUCAUCUGGAAUUGAUUCUUCUUCUUGGACACUUUGUUCUUGAUUAGUGAUCUGUAAAGAAGAAACAACCAUCUUCUUCCAGUCCCACAUAGCAUUCUCAUCAAACUAAACGCUUCUACUCAAAUGUAUUUGUUGUGAAAUAGGAUUUAAAAUCCUAUAGCCUUUCGAAGUGCUGCUAUAGCCCACAAAUAUUCCUACAUCGGCUCAUUAAUAAAUGUAAUAAGUUAUGAAAUUUGUUGCAGUAGCUGCUUUUUUAUCAGUUGAUUUUUUUUACCCUUUUAAUAUAUCUACUUUUGAUCUAUAGAUUGUGUUUUUGUGAAAAAUUGAUCGAAGAGACAACCAUCACUAAGUAUUGAUCCGAAAUAGAAAGGGUGAUGAUUCUUCAAAAGUUACUAAUAGAGUUCUGAUGACAAGAAUAAAUGAAAAUGUUGUUGAUAUUGGUGUUGGUGGUGAUGGUAAUUUAUUUUCUUUGAUUGUUGGCAGUGGUGUGGGUGUUGGUGAAGAUGUCGGACACCCUCAAAAAACUAACACAUAUUGGGUAAUAUUCAACCAUUAGUGUUGGUACCUUUAAGGUGUCUUCUUCUUCUUGUGAAUGCAAGAAGUAUAUUUAGACUCUGUAUGUUAAUUACGAAGGUUGAGGCCACAGAGGCAACCGUUAAUAUUUUGAUGUCUAGGAUGAGUAUCAAGUCGGCUUCAAAGAUUAUUGAACUUUAUACUCAUGUUAACUAUGUUUAAGCUCUUACUGUUAGGGAUGCAAAAAAUUUACGCAAAAAAAUCAUAAACUGGUUAAAUAAAAAAUAUAAAUAUUAUCUCCAAUAAAUUCCAAUACUCUGCAUAUCAUUGUUUUUACAUUAGCACUUGAUAAUGAGAACAAAGAUGAUCAUAUAUAAAGUGUUUAGGCAAAUUGGAUAAGCAAAUUUACAACAUGUCAAGAUAAGUUUCAAAACUGACUAUCCUAAUUCCUCAUUUGAUUUCUCUAGAGUACUUUCAUACUUAUAAUAUGUUUUAAAAUAAAACUUUGGAAAACAUUUAUGUUUACAAAUCUACAGCAAAAAAUACAAAUUUCUUUAAAAAAUAACCUGAACACUUCAUAUGAAUAUUGGUUAUUUAAAGAAUCAACUAAAUAACAUUUUAUGCUACUAAAUUUAUUUUAAAUGUCUUAGAGAAAAUAAUUUACCGCUGGAGUAGAAAAAGAAAAGGAAAGACAGGUAUAUGCCAUAAACUUGGAAAAGUGGAAAUUAAGCCCCAAAAUAUAAGAGUUAAUAACUCAAAUGGUCACUCAACUUAUGAUUUUUUUUCUCAGAAAGUCACUCAAAUUUGAUUCAUACUCCAAAAGUCACUCACCUUUGAUUUCUUCUCUCAGAAAGUCACUCAACUUUACUUUUUAAUUCAAAAGUCACUCAAAUAUGAGUGUCUUACUUAUAAAGUCACUCAAGCUAUUUAAUUAAUUUUUUUCCAUUAAAAUUUGCUAACAUGUAAUUUUUAUUAAAAAUAAAAUUUUAAGAAAUAAAAAAUAAUAAUUUAAACAAUCAAUUUAAUGACCCCUCUCCCCCCCGAAUUUUGAUUUUACUACUAUUUUUUGAAAUUUUCUUGUCCAAUAAUUACUCUAUACUCUAAAGUAUAUAUCAAUUAAUAUCCUAAAAUCACAAUCACUUAAUUGUACAAUUUUUGCUGUUAAUGUUACCUCAUUAUAGUGUAUAUAUUAUAAUGUUACUAAUGUUUAAUAACGAUUGCUAAUGUUUUAUAUCAUAUUAUUUUAGUUUAAAAUCUAUGACGUUCCCUUUUGUCAACUUUUUAGGAAUAAAAUCCAUUGUGUUUAUUUGAUGCAUUUGUAUAUUAUACAAGUGAUAGUAAAAAAAUUACAUUAUGAUUGAAAAAUUAAUUCCAUAAAUAAGUAUCACGUUGAAAGUUAAUUAAAUCCAAUCAUCUAAAUUAAUAUGAUUCUAAAAAUCUUAAAAAUUAGUAUUAACAUUAUAAGUGAAUUGAUAUAAACUAUUUAUGAUAUUUUAAAAUUUCAACUGGCUAUAAAGUAAACAUGAGAAUAUGUAAUAAUAUGGUUCAAUGAUUUUUUAGUUUUUUAGAAUUUUGACUUUAAAUAAAAUCUCAUCUUAGAAAAUUUUAAUUAAUAGUUAAUUAAAUAAAUAGGUUGAGUGAGUUUGUAAGUAAAAUAUUUAUAGUUAAGUGACUUUUAGGGGUCGUUUGGUAGAGUGUAUAAGAAUAAUGCAAAAUAUGGUGUAUUAAUAAUGUUUGUAUUAAUAAUGCUUGUGUCAGUUAUACUUUGCAUUAAUUAUACUUGUAUUCUUUUUAUGCUGUGUUUGGUUUAAUGUAUUGAAAAUUAUAUGUUUUAUAUAAUUUUUAUAAAAAAACAAAUAUUUGACAAAAAUACCCUCUCCUCUUUCUUUCUAAUAAAACACAGACCAACAAAUUCAGCACUGUGUAUAUUCUUCUUCCUUCUCCCCUCUUCACUGUUUUCUACCAUGCGUAUGUAUUUUUGUAUGUAUAUAUUUUUCCUCUCGUGUACUUUUCACUGUUCUCUGUCUAUGGGUCUCUAUAUUUUUUUUCGUUUCUUUUGUUUCUACUCUGUAUCAGAUUUUGUGUGUGUAAAAUUUCUUAUCCAUUCUUUACCGGAAAUGAAAUCCUGGGCAAUGAAAAUCAAAAAAAAAAAAAUUAAUGAACAAAUAUAAAAAAAGAUUCAAAAGAUAAGCUGAAAACCGGCGAAUUGUUCGCUGGCAAUUUUUUUUGGAAAAAUAAGAAAUAUUAAACCGAAAAAAAACUUUAGCAAAUUAUGAUAUUCAAUUUCCUUUGUCAUAAAAGAUUCAAAAGACAAUCUAUUUUGCAAUAAUUUUAUACUAUUAUUUACAAAAAAAACUAAUUUCCAAUGAAAUGAGUAUAUGAAACAAGAACGAAAUGGAAUUGGAAAAUAAUUGAGGGGUAAAUUAGUCAUUUAAUAAAUUAGUGCAUGUUGUGAAAGCUUUGUAGUAGUAAUACAUAGAAAAAUGCUGGUUUUAGUUAUACAUAGCAUAUACACAAUAGAGUGUAUAAGUAAUGCUUGCAUUAGUUAUACAUAGUUUGAAAAAGUACACCAAACAAGGUAUUGACAAUGCAUAGAGCUAAUGCAUGCAUUGAUUUUUUUAUCAGACUCUACCAAACGACCCCUUAAAGUAGAGAUUAAAGUUGGGUGACUUUCUGAGAGAAUAAUCCUAAGUUGGUGACUUUUAGAGUAAGAAACAAAGUUAAGUGACUUUUUGAGAGAAUAAUCCUAAGUUGAGUGACUUUUGGAGUAAGAAACAAAGUUGAGUGACUUUUUGAGAGAAAAUCACAAGUUGAGUGACCAUUUGAGUUAUUAACUCCAAAAUGUAGUCUAUUUAUUUCAGAAAACAAAUUAUUUUGUUCUAUGCACUUUUUGGGGGCUUUUUGUCCAGACGUGCUUCUGGAAUGUAACACAUAACUAAAAUGUAAAACUUGUUUCUAGCAAUAAAAUAUUUUACUCCAUUUCUGGUGACGUUUCGGUACUGGUAACACAACGGUAUCUAUUGGUAUCGGUAUACCGGUACCCAAUGGUCCAGAAUACAGUACCGGUGCGAACCAUCCAAAAAUUUUUAUAAAUUCGAUUCUGGUACUGGUUGACCAGUUCGGCGACGUGAAGACCGUUACUAUUUUCUUUUUUAUUUUUAAUUUUGGUCAUUUGGAAUUGGACUGGUUGACAGCAACGACUCUUUUGGCGAUUGCAAUUGAGUCGUUGUACCCCUCCCCCCCUCCCAAUUACCCAUCACCACCUCCUUUAAAUUUUCACUAUAAAUAUCCUUUAUUUCUAUUUUUUUCCACACAAAUAUUCUCAAUUCUCAUACUCUCUCUUAAUAUUCUCACACUCUCUCUAAAUAUUUAUAAUUAUUAUAUUAGUUGGAGUUGAAGAUGUUUUGAAGAUAUUACAAGCUUCAAUUAUCAUCUUUUAAUUCUGCCAUUUGGUAUACGUCUUCUUUUACGCAGACGUUCGGUAUAUUCGCUCCAACUUUAAUAUCUUUUUAUUUACUUUAAUAUCUAUAUAUUUAUUUUUUAGUAUCUACAUUUGUUUACUUAUAUUAAUUUUUUAAUUUAUAAUAUUUAUAUUGCUUGUUUUAAUAUUUUAAUUUAAAUUUAAUUUUAAUUAUGAAUUUCAAAAAAUAGUAGCGAUAAAAAUCCAAUCUUUGGUAAGAUUUUUUGUAGAAAUAAAAAAAGUAAGGCUACUACUAGUUCAUUACCGCCUAGACUUAGUGAAAUUUCUUUAUCAUAGCCUAAUGGUUUCGAUGUUGGUAUCAGUAUGAAAUUAGAUCAUGAGACCCUAAGUAGGCGUUAUUAUAAUUUUGAGGAACACUUACCAAAAGAAGAUGCUAUAGAAAAACAAGAGUUAGGUGAUACCCCUACCCUUACUAGUCCGGUUACGGAAUUACCGGAACACGGUGAAGAACUUCCAUCUUUACCAGAAUUUACUAGGUCCAAAGGUACCAAACGUACUAAAAGGUCUUUAGUUUAGAAAUUUAUGGAGCAUGAUAGGGUAAGAAGUACUGCUACUUGCAAUAAAUGCAAGAAUAUUUUUAAACAUUUGAUAGGGGAAAAUGGCGGGACAGGGUUGCUAACUUUGCAUUUGCUGAAAUGUAAUAAAGAAUUUAUUCAUCUAAAAAAUAAGGCUAAGGCAAAAAAAGAUGGUACACCAUUUGUGCAAGAAUUUGUAGGAGGUAAUAUGUGUAACGACCUAAUUUUUUGGAAACAGAACGUCAUACGAUGCUCAUGAUCCUGAAGGACCACAAGCUAACCCUCUACUGAUAUCUGUACUUGGACACUGCAUAAUAUAGAUAAUAAAUGCAAAACCUGGCCAUAAGGUUCAAAACAUUUUAAAAUACUCAAAAUUUAAAAUUGAAUACUGAUAUAUUUGUCCGAAAAACCUCUAAACUAUCUGAACUGUAGAGUUGAUGGGACAUGUCCCCAACUAACUCCGUCUACUAAAAAUAAAAUAAAUCUGAUGCGAUAAUAAAAUAAGGAUCAUCCUCGACUGAAGAAGACUUACUGCUAUGUCUACUGCUGCUAACUUGGACUGAGCUGCUAAGGGUACUCUGGAUCUCGUGCCUCUGAAUCUAUGGUGUCAAAUAAAACACCAUAGCGUAAAUGCGUCAGUACAAGAAUGUACCGAGUAUGCAUAUGAGGUAAGGCUAAAUGCAUAAACAUUUACUAAACUGACUAAUCAUGAGAGUACUGAAUGAGAACACAUGCAUGAAUGCACAAACCAUAAAGACAACCAUUGCGACUCUGAAUACUAAAACUUGGAUACUGCAUUACUGUCAUCUGAACUCACUACUAAUAUUGAGAUACUGAACAAUUAAAUCAUCUGAUAUCGAUAACUGAGUACUGGAGUUAAGAUCAGUUUUAUUUAGAGAGUGGUUUCAAAAUCUGAGGAUACUGAAGCUGAUUGAUUAAAUAUACUCACGUUAUUGCCUGAAUUUUAAGCUUUUUACUCUUGACUGACUGCAUCGGGGAUCAAACCUCUCUAAUGGAUGAUUCUAGAAUCUACUAUCAAUGAUAAGAAAAGAUCAUGUCCAAAUCUGACAAUAAGAAUACUCAACCAAAUCUGAGACUGAGAUCAACCCUAUCUAACGGGUGAUAUCUAGAUUUGAUAACAAGAAUACUCGACUAAAUCUGAGACAGAGAUCAGGCCUAUCUGAUGGGUGAUCUCUAGAUCUGAUAAUGAGAUUAAUCAACUGAAUAUGAGACUGAGAUUAAGCCUAUCUGACAAGUGAUCUCUAGAUCUGAUAACAAGAAUACUCAACUGAAUUUGAGACUAAGAUUAAGCCUAUCUGACGGGUGAUCUCUACAUCUGAUAAUGAGAUUACUCAACCGAAUAUAAGACUGAGAUCAAGACUAUUUGACCGGUGAUCUCUAAAUCUGAUAACAAGAAUACUCAACUAAAUCUGAGACUGAGAUCAAGCCUAUCUGACGAUAAUCUCUAGAUCUGAUAAUAAGAUUACUCACCUAAAUAUAAGACUGAGAUCAAGCCUAUCUGACGGGUAAUCUCUAGAUCUGAUAACAAGAAUGUUUAACUAAAUUUGAGACUGAGAUCAAGCCUAUCAGAUACGUAAUCUCUAGAUCUGAUAAUAAGAUUACUCAACUGAAUAUGAGACUGAGAUCAAGCCUAUCUAACGGUUGAUCUCUAGAUCUGAUACUGAAUAACUUUAUAUAAGACCAAGCCUAUCUUACGGGUGGUCCAUGAAUCAACGAAACUAUCUGAGUUCCUCACUGAGACAGAUGAUUGUAUCUUAUAGUCCUGAUUUUUAAAGAUUGAUACUGAAACUGUAACUGUGGGAAGUAGUCACUUAACCGACAUGCCCCAAAUCUAAACUGGUGGGGUCCAAUCUGUAACCCCAGCUGGAAGGGUGUCAAUACCAUGUCACGGGUAAAGGCCUCUCUGGUCAAGCCUAUCUAACAGGUGACACUAGCAGGAAGUCAAGCCUAAGGCAUAUGAUAGUCAAGCCUAUCUGACGGGUGACCAACCUUUCCUAACGGGUGACUCUUGCAUCCUGUGGCUACGCAGUUCUAAAGUUCAGGGAUUACUCCUAACGACUCUACCUCUCUGAUGGGUAGCCGCAAUCCCUAUCCUCGCUCAGUUCUACCUCCUACUCUCAACUGAAGAACUCUAAAUUGAUUCUUAACUGAACAUAAACAAAGUUAAAUCUGAUACUGAUCAUAUUUCUCAAAUGAUCGGACUGAGUUAAGCUUAAUUCACUUAGUUCCGUAUCUGAAGGAAUACUACUGAAUCUCGUUAUCUAACUGAACGACACUAAUCUUUGAAUAGAGUACUCGAUUACUAUAGAGGUCAGAACUGGACACUAGAAUACUACUAGAUCUGAGCUGAAUACAGAACUGAGGCUAGAUUACUAGUAAUACUGAGAUUACAGCGAUUACAGAUUUUACUAAGAUUUCUUAAAUUCUAUAUAUGUCUGAGAAUACAGACUUUUAUAACUCAUUAAGUUCUGAGAAUCAUUGCUCAACUGUAAUUAUCGUGAAAAAUGACACGGGCUCUAGACAGCAGCUAAAUUGUUGGGUAUAAAUACCCCCAGGACUCGAUAACAUAAAAGUAAAACAUAACCAUUCUUGAAUAAUCAAGACAAUGGACAAUCAUUCACCAUCACAAUCACUAAGGCAUCACUUCAAGCAUUUAGGAAUCCUAAACACGUAAUAACAUAAGGGGACCUACUAUUGGAUCAUACUUCAUUCAACAAGGUCUUGCAUCAAACGCUUGGUAUGUAUUAAAGUCUUAGCAUGUAUCAAUGAGCACAUAAUUGGGGAAUUUCGUGCUAUCAUGUCAUAAUUCAUUCACUAAGGCUUUUCAACAAACACUUGGCAUGCAUGGGCUUGCACACAAUUGGGGAUUUCUAGUCAACAUGCUAUAAUGGUUCUAAUUCCUUCACAUAAGCAUUUUAUCAAACAUAUGGGGAGCAUGCUUUGCUUAUUCAACAAUUUUCUUCACCUAAUUGACAUAAACACAUCACUUAACAAACAACUUGAAGAGGGUUUAUCAUGAACAUCACAUGAAUAUCAUAUACUAAGGUCGAAGCUUGAAAACCUUGCAAACAAACAUGAAUCAAAACAAAAUAAUAGUGUGAACAUCAAUUUCAACACACAUGAAUCAUGAAAACCCAUAACCAUAAGAUCUUUGAAUUUUAGAAAAGGGUUCUUGAGCUUCUUGGAUGAAAGGGACCCAAGGAUCAACAUCUACAUACCUUGGGGAAACUUCUUCCUUGAAGGCUCAUGGAGAGAUUCGUAAUUUCUCUUGAUCUCUCUUGAUUUUUCUUGAAGAAGAAAGAAGGAUUUUGAUUUUGUAGGAAACCCUAGUGUUUAAUGUUAGAGAUGAAGAAUGAAAUUGUAAGCCUUGAUCGGAUAUAAAUAGGUCCUGAAAAGAGUGGGAAAAGACCAAAAAGCCAUUUAAAAACCGAGUUAAAAUUAUCGAUCGGGGACUGCUACGGUCGAAGUAGCGGUCUGUCGCUCAGUCGGACGGUUCAUCGGAUCGUCCGUCGCAUAUUGGCCCAGAAAAGAAUACAUUGCCUUGGGAUGACGGUCGAAGUGAUUUUCCAUUCCAAACCCGAUAGUCCAUCAGACCAUCCGUCGCAUGUGACGGUCUCAGUGACGGUCCUUCACAGACCCGACAGUCCAUCGUUUUGGCCAUCGCAAUUGAUUAGAAAAGGGAGUUACUGCCUUGGUUACGACAGUCUGGGUGAUGGUCCAUCUCAAGAUCGACGGUCCAUCAACCGGAUCGUCGCACCUGGGCAGUUACGACUAUUUUCAGUAAAAUGGCCAUAACUUUCUCAUUCGAUGCCGGAUUUUAAUGAAAUUGGUAUCGAUGGAAUGAUUAUUUAGUGCUCUACAUGAAAAAAAGUCAAUAUUAGGAAAAUUAUACAUGGUUAAAAAUAUUUCUCACUUGGGAAGACGCUUCUCAACCUUUUAGAUUUGGAUUUACGCUUCACUUGACAUGCUCUAAGGCUCAGACUACGAGAUAAAUUUAUAGGGUCUUAUAUUAUCUCCCUCUUGGAAACAUUCAUCCUCGAAUAUCGCUUAAUAAUCUAAGAAUACUAAUCGACUGAACUUACUCAAGGAACAAGAACAUCUGUAACAUGACUAUGAAAUUGGAACCACUGAUCUCUGAGUUCUCAUACUGGACAUGCAUACCUUACGCAUGGAAUACUCAACUAAAGUUACUCAUAAUUGAAUUCUCCUAGUAGACAUGCAUAUUUGAUUCAUGGAUGCAUAACUGGGUUGAUCUCAUGAAUGCAUGACUAAACACACUAAAAAGUUGAAAUCUUUCCACUGAACGUGCAUAUCUAAUGCAUAAAUGUCUGACUGAACUGACUCUCAAAAGCAUGAAUGGCUAUGCAAUGACAACCGACGUUAACUUCAUAAGGAGAGUCUGAAUAUGUAAGUAAAUGAGUCUAAGAACAUGAGAGCAUCGCAAUAUCAUGGGGUAUCUCCCCCUUGGGACUCUAUGUCCCUCUACAAACACCUUACUGAAAUACUGGGGUGGUGCACGGGGCACCUACGAACUGGGUCAUGAUUGACUGACUUAGAUCUGAAACCCAUGCAUGACUCAUGCUAAUAUAAAAGCUCAAAAUGAAAAAAAAGGAUCUAUCAAUGCAUAUCACAAAUAUAAAGGACUCAUAACAUACCCGAGUCAAUAUCAGGGAACCUUUCCUGAUUAUGGAAAGCCAGAAACCCAUAGAGACUGUUUUGAACCUGACCACUAUUAGCACCGGAAGGGGCAAUUUUCUGAAGAAACUCUCUACCCCUCUAAGCUAGCACUCUACACUCUUGCAUACUGUGGCCUGGCUCACCAUACCCAAAUCACACAUCACUAUCGGCUCUACACACACCUAGGUGGCUAUUCCCUCACUCUCUACAAAACGGAUUGGUACGAACACCACUAGCACUACUCAGGGGUUUGGAUCCAGACGCUCCUUCAUAACUGACACCCCCAAACUCUGGUGCGGGUACACUAGCUGAGGAUGGAGCUAGGAUCGAAAAUCUCUGACUAUACUGAGAACGACUACCACCUUGGGACCCUUCCUGAGAGAAUCCAUGACUACCUGUCCUGGCUCUCUUACUCACUCUCUCUUUCUUUCAUCUUAUCUGCCUCAAUCUGCUACGCAUGCAUCAUCAGCCUAGCAAGGUCCAUAUCUCUAUGAAGCAUAGCAGUUCUACACUAUUUCAAUACUAACCCAGACACACCAAUCAUAAACUUACUCAUACUCGCUCUAGGGUCAGCUGUCAAGUCAGAAGCAUACUUAGCUAACUGGUUAAACGUAAGAUAAUACUCUUUCACUGUCAUGGAGCCUUGCCUUAGGAUUAUAAACUCAUAUACCCUAUUAUCUCUCAUAUCUAGCGCAAAAAACUUAUCUAAGAAGUCACCCUGAAACUCUUGCCAAGUCAGAGGAGCUGCAUACUCCCUUCUACCCUUCUGUCACAUCACUACCCAAUCAUGAGCAAUAUCCUUCAGCCUAUAGGAUGCUACUCUACACUCUUCUCCUUCAAAACAUGCAUGACCUGGGUGAUUUUCUUCACUUUCUCUAGAUAAAGUUGUGAGUCCUCACCUGCUACUGACCCAAAGAAUUCUAGCGGGCUCAUUCUCAUGAAAUAUCUAAUUCUGGUUGUGGCUGAACCCUCAUCUUGCUGAGGUGGGGCCAUAUCCUGACGGUUACCCUGAACAUUAGUCCCAGCUUGGGCUAGCGCCUGAAAAGCUGCCCGAAACUCAGCAUAUGACACACUCUCGCUCUCAACAUCUACUGGCGGAGGGGGCUGAUCAUCAACCCUAUGGCACUAUCUCUGUGAGGAGGCAUACUCUAUAAAUGGAAGAAAGAGGUGUAUUAGACUGAGGAUCAACUCGAGCUCAUGCUCAAUUAUAUGAUAUAAAUACUAAAAGAAGGAAAACUGCUCUCGAAAAAAUCUUAUAGCCUCUUGUACAUAAAUGUGGUGCGCAACACACCCAUGCAUAAGACUCUACUAGAUGCAACUUUUCAGACUCCCUAGGACACUAUUGAACCUUAGGCUCAGAUACCAAGUUUGUAACGACCUAAUUUUUUAGAAUUGAAAUAUCACACGGUGCUCAUGAUCCCAAAGUACAACAAUCUAACCCUCUACUGAUAUCUAUACCUGGACACUGUAUAUUAUAGAUAAUAAAUGUUAAAACUGGACAUAAGGUUCAAAAUAUCUAAAAAUACUCAAAAUUUAAAGCUGAAUAUUGAUACACCUAUUGGAAAAGCCUCUAAACUGUCUAAACUGUGGAUUUGAUGGGACAUGUCCCCAACUAACUCCGUCUACUGAAAAUAAACUAAAUUUGAUGCGAUAAUAAAAUAAGGAUUAUCCCCGACUGAAGAGUACUCACUGCUAUGUCUACUACUGCUGACUGGGACUUAGCUGCUAAGGGUACACUGGAUCUCGUACCUCUGAACCUAUAGUGUCAAUAAAACACCAUAGCGCAAAUGCGUCAGUACGAGAAUGUACCAACUAUGCAGAUGAGGUAAGGCUAAAUGCAAGGGCUUAUACAUGACCAUUUUCUUAACUAACUAAACAUGAGAGUACUGAAUGAGAACACAUGCAUAAAUGCAAAAACCAUAACUACAACUAUCAAGACUCUAAAUACUGAAACUCGAAUACUGCAUUACUAUUAUCUGAACUCACUACUAAUACUGAGAUACUGAAAAACUGAAUCAUCUGAUACUAAUAAUUGAGUACUGGAGUUGAGAUCAGUCUUAUCUAGCGAGUGAUCUCAGAAUCUGAGGAUACUGAAGCUGAUUGACUAAAUAUACUCACAUCAUUGCCUAAAAUUUGAGCUUUCUACUCUCGACUGAUUGCAUCAGAGAUCAAAUAAAUCUAACAGAUGAUUUCAAGAUCUACUAUCAAUGAUAAGAAAAAACCAUGUUCGAAUCUGAUAACAAGAAUACUCAACUGAAUCUGAGACUGAGAUCAAGCCUAUCUGACGGGUGAUCUCUAGAUCUGAUAAUGAGAUUACUCAACUAAAUAUGAGACUGAGAUCAAGCCUAUCUGAUGAGUGAUCUCUUGAUCUGAUAAUGAGAUUACUCAACUGAAUAAAAGUCUAAGAUCAGGCCUAUUUGAUGGGUGAUCUCUAGAUCUGAUAACAAGAAUACUCAACUAAAUCUGAGAUUGAGAUCAAACCUAUCUGAUGGGUGAUCUCUAGAUUAGAUACUGAGAUUACUCAACUAAAUAUGAGACUGAGAUCAAGCCCAUUUGAUGGGUGAUCUCCAGAUUUGAUAACUAGAAUACUAAACUGAAUCUGAGACUAAGAUCAAGCCUAUAUGGCGGGUGAUCUCUAGAUCGGAUAACAAGAAUACUCAACUGAAUCUGAAACUGAGAUCAAGCCUAUCUAUUGGGUGAUCUCUAGAUCUGAUAAUGAGAUUACUCAACUGAAUAUGAGGCUGAGAUCAAGCCUAUCUAAUGGGUGAUCUCUAGAUCUGAUACUGAAUAACUUUAUAUGGGGCCAAGCCUAUCUGACGGGUGGUCCAUAAAUCAAUGGAACUAUCUAAAUUCCUCACUGCGAUAGAUGACUAUAUCUUGCAGUCCUAAUUUUUAAAGAUUGAUACUGAAACUGUAACUGUGGGAAGUAGUCACUUAAUCGACAUACCUCGAAUCUCAACUAGUGGGGUCCAACCUAUAACUCCAGCUGGAAGGGUGUCAUUACUGUGCCACGGGUAAAGAACUGUCUAGUCAAUCAUAUCUGACGGGUAAUCCUUGUAGGAAGUCAAGCCUAAGGCAUAUAAUAGUCAAGCCUAUCUGAUGGGUGACCAGCCUUUCCUGAUGGGUAACUCUUGUAUCCUGCACUGGCUACGCAGUUUUAGAGUUCAGGUAUUACUCCUAAUAACUCUGUCUCUCUGAUGGGGAGCCCCUAUCCCUGCCCUCGCUCGGUGCUAGCUCCUACUCUCAACUAAAAGACUCUGAUCUGUUUCUUAACUGAACACAAAUUGAGUUGAAUCUGAUACUGAUCAUAUUUCUCAAAUGAUUUAACUAAGUUAAGCUAAAUUCACUUGGUUUCGUAUCAGACAAAAUACUACUGAAUAUAGUUAUCUAACUGAACAACACUGAGCUUUGAAUAGAGUACUCGAUUGAUAGAGAGGUUAGAACUGAACACUUGAAUACUACUAGAUCUGGGAUGAGUACAGAACUGAGGCUAGAUUACUAGUGAUACUGAGAUUACGGCGAUUACAGAGAUUAUUGAGAUUUCUUAAAUUCUAUAUUUGUCUAAGAAUACAAAAUUCUAUAACUCAUUGAGUUCUGAAAAUCAUGGAUUGACUGGAAUUACUGUGAAAACUGACACGGGCUCUAGACAAUAGCUAAAUUAUCGGGUAUAAAUACCCCAGGACUCGAUAACAUAAAAGUAAAAUAUAACCAUUCUAGAAUAAUAAAGACCAUGGACAAUCAUUCACCAUCACAAUCACUAAGGCAUCACUUCAAGCAUUUAGGAAUCCUAAGCAUGUAAUAACAUAGGGGGACAUGCUAUUGGAUCAUACUUCAUUCAACAAGGUCUUUCACCAAACGCUUGGCAUGUAUUAAAGUCUUAGCAUUUAUCAAGGAGCAUAUAAUUGGGGAAUUUCGUGCUAUCAUAUCAAAAAUCAUUCACUGAGACUUUUCAAUAAAUACUUGACAUGCAUGGGCUUGCACACAUUUGGGGAUUUCUAGUCAACAUGUUAUAAUGGUUCUAAUUCCUUCACAUAAUCAUUUUAUCAAACAUAUGGGGAGCAUGCUUUGCUUAUUCAACAAUUUUCUUCAGUUAAUUAACAUGAACACAUUACUUAACAAGCAACUUGAAAAAGGGUUUAUCAUGAAAACCACAUGUAUAUCACAUACUUGGGUCAAAGGUUGAAAACCAUGCAAACAAACAUGAAUCAAAACUAAAUAAUAGUAUGAACAUCAAUUUCAACACACAUAAAUCAAGAAAACCCAUAAACAUAAGAUCUUUGAAUUUUAGAAAAGGGUUCUUAAGCUUUUUGGAUGAAAGGUACCCAAGGAUCAAUAUCUACAUACCUUGGGGAAACUUCUUCCUUGAAGGCUCUUGGAGAGAUUCUUGAUUUCUCUUGAUCUCUCUUGAUGUUUCUUGAAGAAGAAAAAAGGGUUUUAAUUUUGUAGGAAAUCCUAGUUUUUGAUGUUAGAGAUGAAGAAUUAAAUUGUGAGCCUUGAUCGGAUAUAAAUAGAGGCUGAAAAGAGUGGGAAAAAGAUUAAAAAUCCCUUUAAAAAUUGAGUUAAAAUUUCCGAUCGAGGACUGUGACGGUUGCAGUGGCGAUCCGUCGCUCAGUCUGACGGUCCAUCGGAUCGCCCGUCGGACAUUGGCUCAAAAAAGAAUGCACUGCCUCAGGGUGACAUUCAAAGUGAUGGUCUGUUGUAAACCCGACGGUCCGUCGAACCGUCCAUCACAUGUGACAGUCUCAGCGACAGUCCAUUGCAUACCCGAAGGUCCGUUGUUUUGGCCGUCGAGGCCAGAAAAGAGAGUAAAUACCUUGGCUGCGAUGGUCUGGGCGAAGGUCCGUAGGAAUCUCGAUGAUCCGUCAACCCGGUCGUCGCACCUAGGCAGUUGCGACUAUUUUCAGUAAAAUGUCCAUAACUACCUCGUCCGAUGCCAGAUUUUGACGAAAUUGGUAUCGAUGGAAAGCUUACUCAAUGCUCUACAUGACAUAAAGUUAAUAUUAGGGAAAUUCUAUAUAUUUCAAAAUAUUUAUCACUUGGGAAGACACUUCUCAACCUUUUAGGACUGGAUUUACACUUCACUUGAUACGCUCUAACGCUUAGACUACGAGAGAAAUUUGCAGGGUCUUAUAUUAUCUCCCCCUUAUAAACAUUCAUCCUCAAAUGUUACUUGAUAGGCUAAGAAUACUGAUCGAUUGAACUUACUCAAGGAACAAGAACAUCUGUAUCAUGACUAUGCAAUUGGAACAACAUGAGAGUAUCGCAAUAUAUGGGCUAUCUCCCCCUUAGGACUCUAUGUCCCUUUACAAACACCUUGCUGAAAUAUUGGGGCGGUGCACGGGGCAUCUACGAACUGGCUCAUGAUUGACGGACUUAGAUUUGAAACUCAUGCAUGACUCAUGCUGACAUAAAAGCUCAAAAUGGAAGCAAAGGAUAUAUCAAUGCAUAUCACAAAUAUAAAGGACUUAUAACAUACCCGAGUCUAUAUCAGGGAACUUUUCCUGAUCAUGGAGAGCCUAAAACGCAUAGAGACUGUUCUGACACUGACCACUAUUGGCACCGGAAGGGGCACUCUACUGAAAAAACUUUCUACCCCUCUGAGCUAGCACUCUACACUCUCGCAUCCUGUGGCCUGGCUCACCAUACCCAAAGCAUACAUCACAAUCGGCUCUAGACACACCUAGGUGGCUCUUACCUCACUCUUCACAAAGCGGAUUGGUACGAACACCACUAGUAUUACUUAAGGCUUUGGAGCCAGGCGCUCCAUCAUAACUGACACCCCCGAACUCUGGUGCGGGUACACUAGCUGAUGUUGGAGCUAGGAUCGAAAAUAUCUGACUAUGCUGAGAACGACUACUACCCUGGGACCCUGCCUGAGAGAAACUAUGACUACCUGUCUUGGCUUUCUUACUCACUCUCUCUCUUUCUUUUAUCUAAUCUACCUCAAUCUGUUGCGCAUGCAUCAUCAGCCUAGCAAGGUCUAUAUCUCUGUGAAGCAUAGCAUCUCUACACACUUUCAACACUAACCCGAACACACCAGUUACAAACUUACUUAUACUCGCUCUAGGGUCAACUAUCAAGUCUGGAGCAUACUUAUCUAACUGGUUAAACUUAAGACAAUACUCUUUCACUUUAAUCGAGCCUUGCCUUAGGUUUACGAACUCCUUUUCCUUAGAAUUGAAAUGUCACACGGUGCUCAUGAUCCCAAAGUACAACAAGCUAACCCUCUACUGAUAUCUAUACCUGGACACUGUAUAUUAUAGAUAAUAAAUGUUAGAACUGGCCAUAAGGUUCAAAAUAUCUAAAAAUACCCAAAAUUUAAACCUGAAUACUGAUACACCUAUCCGAAAAGCCUCUAAACUAUCUAAACUGUGGAUUUGAUGGGACAUGUCCCCAACUAACUCCGUCUACUAAAAAUAAACUAAAUUUGAUGCUAUAAUAAAAUAAGGAUCAUCCCCGACUUAAGAGUACUCACUGCUAUGUCUACUACUGCUGACUGGGACUUAGCUGCUAAGGGUACACUGGAUCUCGUACCUCUGAACCUAUAGUGUCAAAUAAAACACCAUAGCGCAAAUGCGUCAGUACGAGAAUGUACCAACUAUGCAGAUGAGGUAAGGCUAAAUGCAAGGGCUUUAUACAUGAACAUUUUCUUAACUAACUAAACAUGAGAGUACUGAAUGAGAACACAUGCAUAAAUGCAAAAACCAUAACUACAACUAUCAAGACUCUAAAUACUGAAACUCGAAUACUGUAUUACUAUUAUCUGAACUCACUACUAAUACUGAGAUACUGAAAAACUGAAUUAUCUGAUACUAAUAAUUGAGUACUGGAGUUGAGAUCAGUCUUAUCUAGCGAGUGAUCUCAGAAUCUGAGGAUACUAAAGCUGAUUGACUAAAUAUACUCACAUCAUUGCCUAAAAUUUAAGCUUUCUACUCUCGACUGAUUGCAUCAGAGAUCAAAUAAAUCUAACAGAUGAUUUCAAGAUCUACUAUCAAUGAUAAGAAAAAACCAUGUUCGAAUCUGAUAACAAGAAUACUCAACUGAAUCUGAGACUGAGAUCAAGCCUAUCUGACGGGUGAUCUCUAGAUCUGAUAAUGAGAUUACUCAACUAAAUAUGAGACUGAGAUCAAGCCUAUCUGAUGGGUGAUCUCUAGAUCUGAUACUGAAUAACUUUAUAUGGGACCAAGCCUAUCUGACGGGUGGUCCAUGAAUCAAUGGAACUAUCUGAGUUCCUCACUGAGAUAGAUGACUAUAUCUGACAGUCCUAAUUUAUGAAGAUUGAUAUUGAAAUUGUAACUAUGGAAGUAGUCACUUAACCGACAUGCCCUGAAUCUCAACUGGUGGGGUACAACCUGUAACCCCAGCUAGAAGGGUGUCAAUACUGUGCCACGGGUAAAUAACUCUCUGGUCAAGCCUAUUUGACGGGUGACCCUCGCAAGAAGUCAAGCCUAAGGCAUAUAAUAGUCAAGCCUAUCUGAUGGGUAACUAGCUUUUCUGACGGGUAACUCCUGUAUCCUGCGCUAGCUACGCAAUUCUGGAGUUCAGGGAUUGCUUAUAACAAUUCUAUCUCUCUGAUGGGGAUCCACCAUCCCUGUCCUCGCUCGAUGCUAGAUCCUACUCUCAACUGAAAGACUCUGACCUGAUUCUUAACUGAACACAAACUGAGCUGAAUCUGAUAUUGAUCAUGUUUCUCAAAUGAUCGGAUGAGUUAUGCUGAAUUCACUUGGUUUUAUAUCUGCCGAAAUACUACUGAAUCUCGUUAUCUAACUGAAUGAUACUGAGCUUUGAAUAGAUUACUCAAUUACUACAGAGGUCAGAACUGAACACUUGAAUACUACUAGAUCUGAGCUGAGAACAGAACUGAGGCUAGAUUACUAGCAAUACUGAGAUUACGACAAUUACAGAGAUUACUGAGAUUUCUUAAAUUCUAUAUAUGUCUGAGAACACAGAGUUUUAUAAUUCGCUGAUUUUUGAGAAUCAUGGCUCGACUGGAAUUAUCAUAAAAACUGACACGGGCUCUAGACAGCAGCUAAAUUGUCAGGUAUAAAUACCCCCAGGGCUUGAUAACAUAAAAGUAAAACAUAACCAUUAUUGAAUAAUCAAGACCAUAGACAAUCAUUCACCAUCACAGUCACUAAGGCAUCACUUCAAGCAUUUAGGUAUCCUAAACAUGUAAUAACAUAGGGGGACAUGCUAUUGGAUCAUACUUCAUUCAACAAGGUCAUGCAUCAAACGCUUGGCAUGUAUUAAAGUCUUAGCAUGUAUCACAGAGCACAUAAUUGGGGAAUUUUGUGCUAUCAUGUCACAAUUCAUUCACUAAGGCUUUUCAACAAACACUUGACAUGCAUGGGCUUGCACACAAUUGGGGAUUUUUAGUCAACAUGCUAUAAUGGUUCUAAUUCCUUCACAUAAGCAUUUUAUCAAACAUAUGGGGAGCAUGCUUUGCUUAUUCAACAAUUUUCUCCACUUAAUUAACAUGAACACAUUACUUAAGCAACUUAAAGAGAGUUUAUCAUGAAUAUCACAUACUAGGGUCAAAGCUUGAAAACCGUGUAAACAGACAUGAAUCAAAACUAAAUAAUAGUAUGAACAUCAAUUUUAACACACAUGAAUCAUGAAAACCCAUAAACAUAAGAUCUUAAUUUUAUGAAAGGGUUCUUGAGCUUCUUGGAUGAAAGGGACCCAAGGAUCAACAUCUACAUACCUUGGGGAAACUUCUUCCUUGAAGGCUCUUGGAGAGAUUCUUGAUUUCUCUUGAUCUCUCUUGAUUUUUCUUGAAUAAGAAAGAAGGAUUUUGAUUUUGUAGGAAACCCUAAUUUUUUAUGUUAGAGAUGAAGAAUGAAAUUGUGUGCCUUGAUUAGAUAUAAAUAGAGGCUGAAAAGAAUAGGAAAAAGACCAAAAAGCCCUUUAAAAAUUGAGUUAAAAUUACCGAUCGGGGACUACAACGGUCGAAGUAGCGGUCCAUCGCUCAGUCUGACGUUCCUUCAAAUCAUCCGUCACACAUUGGACUAGAAAAGAAUACACUGCCUCGGGGUGACGGUCCGUCGGACCGUCCGUUGCAUGUGACGGUCUCAGCGAUGGUCCAUCGCAGACCUGAUGGUCCAUCAUUUUGGCUGUUGCACUUGGCCAGAAAAGGGAUUUAAUUCCUUGGCUGAGAUGGUCCGUCGCAAGCUCGACUAUCCAUCAACCCGAUCGUCGCACCUGGGCGAUUCCGACUAUUUUCAGUAAAACGGCUAUAACUUCCUCGUCCGAUGCUGGAUUUUAAUGAAAUUGAUAUCGAUGGAAAGAUUAUUCAAUGCUCUACAUGAAAAAAUAUCAAUAUUAGAGAAAUUCUGCACGGUUCAAAAUAUUUCUCACUUAGGAAGACACUUUUCAACCUUUUAGGAUCAGAUUUACACUUCACUUGACACGCUCUAAGUCUUAGACUACGAGAGAAAUUUACGGGAUCUUACAUAUGGUUAAAACUCAUUUAUACAUGUUUAAUUCAUCUGGCCCAAGUUCAUCAUCGACAUAUAGUGAAGAUGUAGAUAGAGAAGAACUAGAAAAAAUGGUUGUUGUUAUGGGUUUAUCUUUUAGUUUUCCUUCGCAUCCCGAUUUUAUUCUUUAUAUUCAAUGAGUAUAUAAUCCCUCUUUUAAAUAUUUUUCAUGAAAUACAAUUAAGAAUGAUAUUUUUAAAUUUCAAGCUGAACAUUGCCAUUUUCUUCGUUGCUUAUUUGAUAAAUUUGAUGGUAGAAUAUCUAUUACUUCUGAUAUGGGUCGUAGUGUUGUCGGUAAUGAUUAUUUUACUCUCACGGCUCAUUGAAUUUAUCACUAUUGAAACAUGUAAAAAAAAUUAUUGCUUACAAAUAUGUUAACGAGUUUAAAACCGAUAUCUAUAUAGCUAAUACAAUAACGGAGAGCAUGAAAUAUUUUAGAUUUGUUGGUAAAACUAUGGCAUGCACAUUAGAUAAUGCUUCUAAUAAUUUGAAAGUUGUUGAAGAGUUAAAAACUAGAUUAUGUCCUAUGGAUGAAGAUCAUUUUCAUGUUAAAAUGUACUGCAUAUAUUUUAAAUUUAAUAGUACAUAAUGGUGUUCAUUUGUUUGGAAAUGGUUGUUAUAAAGUUCGAAUUGCUUGUAGUUACAUUUUUAAAAAUAAAAUAAAGAAUGUAAUGGAUGAUUUUAAAUAUAAAUGUAGACAAUGUGACCUUCCAUAUAGAAAAGUUCCUACUAGAUGGAAUUCUUUGUUUCAAAUGCUUGAAGUUGAUUUUAUAUAUCGUAAACCUAUACAAUUUGUUUAUAAUGCUUAUAAUUUGGAUGUUAAUUUAAUGCUAGAUGAAGAUAAUUGGAUUGAAGUAGAAGAACUUUCUAAAUUUUUGAAAACUUUUUAUCAAGCUACGAACACAGUAUCUGCUCAAUAUACUCCAACUAUUUCUUCUGUUUUAGUAACUAUUACUGCUAUUUCUAAAGUACUUGUUGAAUAUAAAAAAAAUAUGUCCUUACAAAGAGGCAAUUGAAGUUAUGGUUGAUAAAUUUAAAAAAUAUUAUUUUUCUAUUCCAUAAAUUUAUUUGACAGCUACUUUAUUCAACCCAUUUUAUAAAGAACAUGAUGCAGUGAUGUUGGUUCAAAAACUAUACAACAAUUUAGAAAUUGGACCUCAUAAAAAGCCAUCAGUUGACACUUGUUGUGCUAGCAUAGUACCUAAAGCUAGAAGUUUAUAUAACUUGUAUCAAGUUAUAGAACAAAAUAUUGGGUCGGUCGAACCUUCUACUUCUAAGCAUAGAUAUAAUGAUUUAGAUAACGAGAUGGGUGAAGAACUUGGUCUUCAAUGUUGUAGGAGUAAUGAUUUUGAUUCGUAUCUUUUGCAGGAUCAUAAAAAUAUUAGAGAUGGAACUGAAAAAUAACAACUUUUAUCAUGGUGGAAGACCCGUAUUAGACAAUUUUCAAAUCUUUCAAGGAUGGUUCGAGAUGUGCUAUCAACUCAAGCUUCUUCAGUUGCUUCGGAGCAAGCUUUUAGCACAGAAAGAUUUGUAAUUGGAUAUCAUUGAUAUUCGUUAGCAAGGGAUAGUUUGGAGAUUUCGGUAUUAUUUAGAGAUUGGAUCAAUGCCGAACGAAGAAAUUUUGGGCUCCCAAAAUUACCGCCCAUGUUGAAGAUGAAAUAGAUGAAACUUUUUAGGAAAAUAGUGAUAAUGAAAUGGAAGCAAUGGAGGAACAAGGAAAAAGAUCAAUUCCAGAAAAUUUAUCCGUCGAAGGAAUAGAAAAGUUACGCCAAGAAUAUUAUAGACAAUUUAGAUAUUAAUAAGAUUCUACAAUAGAGAUCUAAUUUAAACAGAACCCUUCCUAGAAGGUGGCUGCGUAGAUUACAUUUUCUUUUAAUAUCUUUGUAAUAAAUGUAUAACGUAUGGAAGUUGAAUAAAUAUAACGGCUAUUCGCCUAAUUUUAUUUUAAAAAUUUUCUUUUGUUUGAUGCAACUAUCUUAGCUAAAAUUACAAAGUUUAUAUUUAUAACUUUGAAGUUAUGGGGAAAAAAGUUUAAUACUUUUAACUUUAUAAAGUUAGGAAAAUUUUUAACUUUACAACUUAAAAUUAUAUAAAUAUAAUUUAACUUCUUAAACUUAUUAAAAAUAUUAUAUUAACUUAAACUUAAGAAUAUAUUUUUAAGUUUAAGAUAUAUUAAAACAUGUUAUAUUUAUUAACUUAAACUUAAAAUAUAUUUUUUAAUUUAAAAUUUUAAGCUUUUUAAGAUUUAUUAAACUUAAACUUAUUAAAAAAAAGUUAAUAAAAAAAUGUUAUAUUAAUCUAUUAUAUUAAUAAAAUAUAAGUUAUAUAAACUAUAUAAGUUAAUAUAUAUAUAAUUUAAAUUAAAGAGAAAAAAAACGUGUCAAGAAUUGUACAUAACGUUACCAACUCCGGCUUCUCUUCCGGUAUAGCUCCGAUGUCAUUCCGGUCCAGCCCAGUUCCACACUGGUAACCAAUGGACCGGUGUGUACCAGGCAAAAAUUUCAGUAUUCCGAUUUCGGUAAUACCGGUUUCGGCGACAAAUUCGGUAAGGCAGUUUUGGUACCGGUUCCAGUCAAAUCGGCUCGACGGUACCGGUUCCGAUUUGUUGCCAGCCUUACUCAACUAUGAGUUCUUUUCUUAGAAAGUCAUUCAAAUUUACUUUUUAGUUCAAAAGUCACUCAACUAUAAGUGUCUUACUUACAAAGUCACUCAAGCUAUUUAAUUAAUUCUUUCCAUUAAAAUUUGCUAACAUCUAAUUUUUAUUAUUUAAACAAUCAAUUUAAUGACCGCCUACCCCCGCACACCAAAAUUCAUUUAAAUGGUUUAAAAGAAUAUCUCUUUAUUUCUUAGAAUUUUAAUUUUACUAUUAUUUUUUGUAAUUUUCUUGUCCAAUAAUUACUCUAUACUCUAAAGUAUAUAUAAUCAUACAAAUCAUCAAUUAAUAUCCUAAAAUCACAAUCAUUUAAUUGUACAAUUUUUGUUGCUAAUGUUACCUCGUUAUAGUGUAUAUUAAUGUUACUAAUGUUUAAUAACAUUUUCUAAUGUUUUAUAUCAUAUCAUUUUAGUUUAAAAUCUAUGACGUUCCCUUUUGUCAACUUAUUAGGAAUAAAAUUCAUUGUAUUUAUUUGAUGCAUCUGUAUAUUAUACAAGUGGUAAUACAAAAAAUACAUUAUGAUUGAAAAAUCAAUUCCAUAAAUAAGUAUCACGUUGAAAGUUAAUUAAAUCCAAUCAUCUAAAUUAAUAUGAUUCUAAAAAUCUUAAAAAUUAGUAUUAACAUUAUAAGUGAAUUGAUAUAAACUAUUUAUGAUAUUUUAAAAUUUCAACUGGCUAUAAAGUAAACAUGAGAAUAUGUAAUAAUAUGGUUCAAAUGAUAUUUUAGUUUUUUAGAAUUUUGAUUUUAAAUAAAAUCUUAUCUUAGCAAAUUUUAAUUAAUAGUUAAUUAAUUAAAUAGGUUGAGUGACUUUGUAAGUAAAAUAUUUAUAGUUAAGUGACUUUUAAAGUAAAAAUUAAAGUUGGGUAACUUUCUGAGAGAAUAAUCAUAAGUUGAGUGAUUUUUGGAGUAAGAAACAAAGUUGAGUGACUUUUUGAGAGAAAAUCAUACGUUGAGUGACCAUUUAAACUCCAAAAUGUAGACUAUUUAUUUCAGAAAACAAAUUAUUUUGUUCCAUGCACUUUUUUGGGGCUUUUUGUCCAGACGUGCUUCUGAACGUAACACAUAACUAAAAUGUAAAACUUGUUUCUAUCAAUAAAAUAUUUUAUUUUCUAGAAAACAAAUUCAAACUCAUAAAAGUAAAAGAAAGAAAAAUAAAACAAAACCAAAUUGAGCAAGAGCAAUAAAUUGUAAAUCCAACCUCGAAGUGAAAUCAGUUGAUUUUCCUAUCAACAGUCCUGUCAUACUAAAAACUCACAACAAAAACAACAACAAACCCAGUGUAUUCCCACCUAGUGGGGUCUGGGGGGUAAGAUGUACGCAGUCCAUACCUCUACCUCCAAAGAAGUAGAAAGGUUGUUUCCGAAAGAAAAAUAUAGUCUCUCCUCCUUUUUAUAUAGUGCAAGUACAUUUUUAUUAUUGUUACAUUUUUCAUACUAAUUUGCCUCUCCACUUUUAUUUUUAUUUCUUUUUUUAUAUUUUUUGUUGAUUUUUAUUUUUUAGUUUUUAUUUUCUUUUUUAAAGUCAUUUAUCUCAACUUUUAUUUUUUAAUAUUUUCUUCAUCUCUUUUCUUUUUUUUCUCAAGCAUUAUUUAUUUUUCAUUUCUCUUUUUUCUUCUUUUUUUAAUUAAUUUAUGUCAACAUUUAUUUUCUCUUAUUUUUUAUUUUUAUAUUUUCUCAAUUUUCUCCUUUUUUAUUUUUAUUUUUUUCUUCUCAUUUUUCUUUUUCACAGUCUUUAUUUUAAAAAAAAAUUAUUCUUCUCUUUUUUGUUUCUUUGUUUUUUUUUCACUAAAUCUUUGUUUUUUUUCCUACUUUGUUGUUUGGAAGUCUUUGGGAUAAGUCUAGUCUCUAAGACGAGUUAUAGAACAACUUAUAAAUCAAAAUAUAAUGUGGUACUGUCAACUCUUGGCCAUGGGACGUAACUUGUUGUUUGAAAGUCUUUGGGUAAACUCUUGCCUCUAAGGCAAGAUUUAGAGAACAUCUCAUAAAUCAAGACACAAUGUGGUAGUAUCAACUCUUGCCCAUGGGACGUAAUUUAUUGCUUGAAAGUCCUAAGUCUUGCCUCUAAGACAAGAGUUAUAGAACAUCUCACAAAUCAAAGACACAAUAACGUAGUGUCAACUUUUGUUCAUGGGACAUAUCUUGUUGUUUGAAAGUUGUUAGGCUAAUUUUUGUUUCUAAGACAAGAGUUAUAGAGCAUUUUAUAAAUCAAGACACAAUGUGAUAGUGUCAACCCUUGCCUAUGGGACAUAGCUUCUUGUUUGAAAGUUUUUAGACUAUGUCUUGUCUGAGUUAUAUAAUAUCUCAUAAAUCAAGAUACAAUGUGAUAGUGUAAAACAAGUCUUGCCUCUAAGACAAAAGUUAUAGAACAUUUCAUAACUAGAGACACAAUAUGGUAGUAUCAACUCUGAUCCAUGUAAUGCAACUUGUUGUUUGAAAAUCUUUGAUCUAAAAUUUACCUCUAAAUCAAGAUAGAAUAUCUUAUAAAUCAAGAUACAAUAUGAUAGUGUCAACUCUUAUCCAUGGGACAUAACAUGUUUGAAAGAAAUUGAAAUAAAAAGAAAAAAAAUAAUGAGGGUUGAGGAAAAAGAAAAAAGAAAAAUCAGAGGAAACAAAAAAAGAAAAAAAUAAAUAAUAGGAUUUGAGAGGAAAAAGGGAAAAAAUAAAGAUUGAAAAAAAAACAAAGAAAAAGAGAAACAAAAAAUAAAAGAGAAAUAUGGUUGCGAAAAUAAAAAAAUAAAGAAAAAAAAAGGAGAAAAAUAUAUAAAUAAUAUAGAAGUUGAGAGGAGAAAAAGAAAAAAAAAACAAAGAUUGAGAAAUUUUUUUUUAAAAAAUGAAAAAAUAAAUAGUAAAAUAAAAAAGAGAAAAAAAGAAGUUAAAAGAUAAAUAAGCAAGAAGAGUUGUUUAACAAAUUUUAAGUUACAAAGGCACAAAUAGGUAUUUGUUCGAUACAUUAAAACAAAAAAACUAAUUUUGUAGGACUUUUCUUUGGAGGACAACAAAAGCAAAAUCAGCUAUUGUGCAGGUCAAGGUCAUUUAUGUAGUCUACCCAUAAUAGGCAAAAUGCUCUAUUGGACCCCUGUACUAUGUCAGUUUUGUAAGUUGGACACUUCUACUUACAUAUUUGUCAUCUGAACCCCUGAACCCACGAAAAAACUACAUUUUAAACACUUUUUUGGAGAGUGUGACACACUCCCAUGUCAGCUACCACAUCAGCUGCCACGUGUGUCAUGUCAUCCGCCACACGUACCACGUCAUUUUAAAAAAAUAAAAAAUAAAAAAAAAUAGAAAAAGUACUACAUUAAAUUCCAAGUCAUUUUUAAAAUGUUACAUAACAAAUUAAACAUUAAAAUUCAUUUAAUUAAAUAACAAAAAUUUAUAAAUUGUAGAAAAAUUUGAAUAAUCAUGCUUUUAAAAUUUGAAAAAUUUGAAUAAUCAUUUUUAAAAUAAAAAAAUAAUUAAAAAAAAAGGGGAUUUUCAGGCCAAAUUAGUACGCUAUAGCCCACAGUUUCAGGGGUGGUCCCGGGGUCUAGGCUUGCUGUGGGCUAAAAAUAGACCAGGGUAUGGCAGGGAGGUUGGGGAUCGUCCGAGUAUGGUUCGUUUAAUUUUUCGUGGCCAUUUGGGUUGACAAAUUGUCGAAACGAUGAGAAUGGGGCUUUUUCGGGCCAAAUCGGUGGGCUAUAGCCCAUGAUUUUGGGGUUGAGCCCGGGGUCUGGGAGUGGAUUGGGCUAAAAAUUGACCAGGGCGUGCCAGAGAGGUUGGGGAUCGUCCCAGUAUGAUCCGUGUAAUUUUUCAUGGCCAUUUGGUUGGACAAACAGGCAAAAUGGUGCGAAUGGGGCAUUUUCGGGCUAAAUUGGUGUGUUAUAACCCACGAUUUUGGGGGUGGGCCCAGGGUAAGAGCGUACUAUGUGUCAAAAAUUGACCGAGGCAUGCCAGGGAGGUUGGAGAUCAUCCCAGUAAGGUCCGUUAAAUUUUUUUUUCCAUUUGGGUGGACAAACGGGCGAAACGGCGCGAACGAGGCAUUUUCGAGCCAAAUCGGUGUGGUAUAGCCCACGGUUUUGGGGGUAAGCCCGGGGUUCAGGCGUGCUGUAGGCCAAAAAUCGACCGGGGCAUGCCAGGAAGAUUGGUGAUCAUUGCACUAUGGUCCGUUUAUUUUUUUUUUUUGGCCAUUUGGGUAGACAUAAGGGCAAAAUGGCACGAACAGGGGCAUUUUCGGGCCAAAUCGGUGUGCUAUAGUCCACGGUUUUGGGUGGUCCCAUAGUUCAGGCGUGCUGCGGGCCAAAACUCGAUCGGGGUAUGCCAGGGAGGUUGGGGCUAGGUGGGGUGUGGGGGUGGGGACGAGCUGCGGGAGGGAAAAAAUAUUUUUAUUUUUUUAAAAUUUUUAAAAUGAUUUUUAAAAAUAAAUUAAAAAAGAUGGAGGGAAAAAAAGGAUCCUUUUAAAAUUAUUUUUUAAAUUUUAUUAUUAUUUUUAAUUAUUUUAAUAUAAAAUUGAUCAAAAAUUGACCCCACUAGUCACCAUGACCUUGUCUAUGUCAAAGAGUGCGAAAUGUUGUUUUUUGAUGGAUUCAAGGGUCCAGAUACAAACAUGUAAUCAGAAGUGUCCAACUUUCAAAACUGACAUAGUACAGAAGUCCGAUAGAGCAUUUUAAUAAAUCCAUACUGUGCAAGCACAAUAAAUUGCAAAACCAAUCUAGAGUGAAUUUUCAUCAAUUGGUUUCCCUACCAACAGUCUCCUGUCAUACUACUUGGAUAGGUUCUAGAUAACUUGCACAAGGAAAAAUGAAGAACUCUGGUAUCGAUAAGUUCACCACACACAGCACAGAACUACAUUCAAGUUAAUGUACGGCCUAUACUUUGCUUAAAGAAAAGAGAAACUAAAUGGAAGAGGAACUAAGCAUGGUGAUUGAAAAGUCCGGCUAGACAACAACAACAACAACAAACCCAGUUUAUUCCCACAAAGUGGGAAGUCUGGCUAGACACUAGCAGCAAAAAGCCCCCACAACCCAACUGUUUAUUGACUAAACUCUAUGUAAAAUCAUUUGUGGCAACUGUAUGAAGUCAUCAGCAUCCUCUUCACUAUCACUUCCGAUCCAGCCAUAACAAGGAAAGCGCCUUCUUGGUGGCUGAAGGAAAACUCGCUUCGAGGAAGGAAGAGUUGUUGGAAGAUGAUCAGCAGGGGUAGGCACACUAGUAACUGAAGCUUGCAGCGCUUGACUCCCAGAAUCUCCACCAUCACUGAAAAAUACAUUACCUAUCCCCUUCUGGAUAGAGGUUUGGUCCUCCCGUAUGUCUUUACACCUAUGUCCAUCUCCUUCAGCUGGUGGGAGACAUAAUACUUCUGCAAACAGGGUUGUUAGGGAAAUUUCACGAUCCAAGUUCCAGCACAAGUGAACUAUUGGAAUGAAUGAAACUGCUCCAGUUACACUAGAAAUAAUGCAAUAGUGUAGCUUCCCUAAUCUGUUGGUAUGUUAAAUUGGUUUAUGACUUGGAUGCUUUUUUAUUUCUAAGAGAUGGCAGAUGGAAUAAAAGCGAAAUAGAAGGCUAAUAAGGGAGAUAUGGAACUAUGUCAUUGGGUCUUCCAAAAGCAAAGGAAUGAUCCUUCUUUAGUUUAGUCAACUGAUCUGAUGGGUCCAACAAACAAUUUAUUAUACAAAUAUCUGAAAUAUAAAUGAAUAAAUAAAUAAAUAAAUAAAUAAAUAAAAUAAUAAAUAACAAUAGACUAAGAUUCUAAAUAAAGGAUGACAAAUAAACAUGGUCUUCUUUUAUUCUAAACGUCUUGUGAUCUUCAACCAAUAUGCCUUCAAUAUAAUUACCGGGGGUAAGCGCUAUAGCCUGUUUCCAAUACUUAGCAGCUUGAUCGAACCUAGCCUCUGCACUUUCAGAAUCUCCUGUUGAAUGGCCAGGGAGCCAGAUUCAAUGUUUUUCUACUUUGUUAAGCUGAUUUUCAUUGCUUGCAGCUAAAUGGCUACUCCAUGGAGAAAUUACACAGAUCAAUAUGUACAAUUAGCACAGACGAUCAGUUCCUUACCAGUACUGCCAAUGUCUUGUUUGUAGCUGCAAAGCUCUUCGUGUGUUGGUUCUCCUACUGCAUCAACAAGCUUAGAGCAUGUUGUUUCUCCUACAGUAUUGCCAGCUUUAUAACAUGUGGAAUCAACAAGAGUGCCUGAUGGACCAGUGGUGCUUUCUAAAGCAGGGUUUUCUGCUAUUUCAUCUUGUGAGGAAGCACCCUGCUAUAACUCAAGGUCCUCAGCUAUUCCAGUAUAUGUAUAUAUUAAUCUAGGUGCAACAAAUAUCAGCAACAAUCAUAUCAAUAUCGAAGGAGAAAUGAAAUUUUUCAUCAGCAUCACUGCAUUUCAUAUAGUUGCACCCAAUGCAAUACAGAUAUGAGCCUGUAGCUGAUUUCCUAUUUAUGCAAAGCUCGACCUGAAACAACAACUCUAUGUACCCUGAAUGGAGACUCACCGGAAAAUACGAUCCAAGAAAGAUGAGCAAAUGUGGCUCAGCUCUGUGUCGUUAAAACUACCAUAAAAUUUAGGCUAGCCUCAGAACUAUAGAUGUGUUCAAAGGUGAAAUAUACAUGCUGGAGUGUGACUCAGAAAUAAAACAUGUGUCUUGCUUCUUCUUUGGUUUGUUGUACUAACCAAUAAUAAAAGGCAGAAGCAAAUCUUUGAAUUGACUUAUGGAACAUAAGAUGCCAAACCUAUGAACUGACUUAUGGAACAUAAGAUGCAUACAGAGAGCAAGGGGAGAAAUAGGAGUCUUUUAAGGUUCAAAUUUACGGCAAAAAGAAAAGUUAUUUCUUAUUGGGCUUGCUUCAGAAGUAGCUUUGAUUGUUAAUAGCUUAGGGCUUGUUUGGUGUGAGGGAUAAGGGAUAAUAAUCCCCAGAUAAGAUAUAGUAUUAAUUUAUCCUCUGUUUAGUUAGAAGUUUUAGCUAGUCCCACCAGAAUUAUUUAUCCCAUCAUUUACAGUGUAAAUGAUGGGAUAAGUUAUCCCACCAUAUAUGGGAUAACUUAUCCCUUGGGAUAUCCCACCCAAUCCAUGGGAUAAUUUUGUUUAUCCCAUCCCCCAACCAAGCGACCCCUUAGAGUUUUAGAACCAGGUAAGUGUUUUGAAGGAAGCUGGGAGGAAAGAUGCUUCCUUUAUUUCUGAGAGACCAAGUGUGAUGAGCUGAUCAACUCCAAGUCUCCAACUAAAGAGAAAGCACUUGGAGUAAAGCAGGAAGAUAAGCAUAACAAGAGAAUAAAGAAGUGACUGCACCAUCUAGCAUGCUCAAAACAACAGCAAAGGUUAUGCCUCAGUCAAGUUUGGAUUGGCUAUAUGAAUCCUCACAGUCAUGAUGCUUCAUUUAAGUCUGUCUCAGUCCAAUAUCUGUCUAGCAUACUAUCAAUUAACAAAAACAUCCAAACAUGAAUAAACAGCACGUUGAUGAACGGAAUAAAGGACAUGGAUUUUCUACUAACAAGUUCUACAAAGCAAGCCUUCCAUCUUCUCAUUCAAACUGGAGGAAAGCAGGGUAGGAAACAUGAUAACCUCUCUCUGCACUGUCCCCGAGUAAGUACUGUUUCAAGUCUGCCAAGAACAAAACAUGCCCUGAAGCAGCUUUAUAAGGUCACUAAUACGACAUCAACCACAAAAUGCUAGAUUUGCACCUCAUUCGGAUUUAAGCUCUACAGAGCGUAGAAUUUCCUGCCUUUGGGAUGUGCUAAUCAACCUCUGCACUAGGAAACUACAGGCUUUGCGAAACCAUAAGAUUCAGUCUUGGACUUCAGGAAAGAUUGUGGUGAGAUGUACUUAUUCCCAAUACGCAUUCAUUAUUAGUGCAGACCCGCAGGAUAUGUGAAUCAACAAUGCUAAAAGCAGUUCUAAGUAUCUAUUAUUUGCGCCAAAGAAAAUCAUUCCCACACAAAUUCUCAUGUAUCAAAUUCCAAAAAUUUAUAAAUGAUCGUGCGGAUGCUCAUACUACUACAUGUAAAUAAUCGAUUAGAGCAGCCUAAGUUAGCAUUAAGAUCCACUUAUAUUGAUUUCAAUAAGAUGCUUUACAUAUCUUUUAACAGAUUUAAGGAACCAUUUUCUCUAACAGCAAAGGAGAACAUUUGAUGGACUAAUGACUAUCACAGGUUAUAGUGAAGACGGGGAUAAUGCAUGAAAGGAACAAGCAACCAAACAACAGCAAUGUAGAAGAAUGGCCAGCGAAUUCCGGAUGACAUAAAGACAAUUAUUCAUCAAUAAACUCAGAUGACACAAGUAUAUGCCUGCAGGAAGCUUUGUUUUCCUGCAAUAAACACAAGAUCAUCUUUUCCAUUUUUUAAAAGAAAUACUGUAAUGUGACUGCAUUGAAUGAACGGAUUUAGAUAAAACUGAAUAGACAAAUUUGUACCCAUUAAUGAUAAAACAGUAUGAAUACAUCAUCAAUUGAUAUAGGUGCAAAGUGAACUUUCAUGUCCUUACACUAUGACUUCACAUGAACAUUGUUAAAAGGCUACUGGCUCGUGCUUCUUAAUCCAUGUAAAAUUCACAGCAAACUGAAAAUCAUAGAUUACCUUCGAGGAAGGAAGAGCUGUAGGGUGAUGAUCAACAGGGACAGGGAGAUGAUUAACUGGGCAUAGUGAAGCAGUUGGAGGUGGAGUAGAAAUAUGAAAGUUACUCUCUGAUUGCACCUGACUCCCAGAACACAAUUUCAGAUAAUUAACUGGGUAGCGGGAAGAAGUUGGAGGUCGAUCAAAACCAUCAAAGUAACUCCCGGGUUGCACUUGAUUCCUGGAAUUCCCACCAUCACGGCAAAUAGCAUUACUCAUCUCCUUCUGGGUAGGGAUUUCGUCUUCUGCUACGUCUUUCGAGGUAUUUCCAUCUCCUUCAACUGGAGGACGACAAAAUACUUCUGCACAACGGGGUUGUUAGUGAAAUUUUAGUAACAUGGACCUCAAAGUCCUAUAGGCACCUCUUACUGUUUCAUGAAUAAAAGAAGCAAGAUAUUUCAAGUUUCAGCACGAGUAAACUAUUGCAAGAAAAAACUGCAGUUGAACAAUAUUAUAUCUUCCCUAACCUGUUAACAACAAUGACGACAUAACCAAUGUAAUCCCACAAGUGGGGUCCGGAGAGGAUAAAGAAUACGCAGAUCUUAUCCCUACCUUGGAAGGUAGAGAGACUGUUUCCGAUAAACCCUCAGCUCACGUAAAACAGUUCGGUAAAAAAAAAUACAGAAGUGAAGAGGCCACAACAAAAAUACUAAAGAUAGCAUGACAAAACAUGCCGGGGGUUUAUCGGAAACAGCCUUGCUACUUCUCCGGAGGUAGUGGUAUGGACUGAGCACAUCUUACCCUCCCCAGACCUCACUAUGUGGGAAUACACUGGGUUUUUUGUUGUAGUUGUUGUAGCAUGACAAAACAUACUGAAAAAAGAACAGUAACUAAGACAAAAUAAUACUACAAUUGAAGUAUAAGAAAUAGAUAGUAACAAAAAUCAAAGACCAAGAAACUACUACGACGACUAGAACUACUAGUAUGGAACAGUAAGUGAGACAACUAUCAACUAUCUACUAGCCCUCUAUCCUAAUCCGUGUCCUCCAUAGCCUCCUACCUAAGGUCAUCUCCUCAGUAAGCUGAAGUUGUCAUGUCCUGACUAAUCAUCUCUUCUCGAUACUUCUUCAGUCUACCUCUAAGCCUACCUCUACUUUCCCUAAAAUCAUCCAUAGUCAACCUCUCAUACCUCCGCAUUGGGGCAUCCAUGCAUCUCCUUUCCACAUGCCCGAACCACAUCAACCUCACUCCCUGCAUCUUAUCUUCCAUUGAGGUCACUCCUACUUUCUCCAAAUAUAUUCAUUUCUACUCCUCUCUCUCCUAGCAGCCCACACAUCCAUCUCAACAUCCUCAUUUCCACAACUUUCAUCUUCUGAACGUGAGAAUUCUUGAUUGGACAACAUUCAACCCCAUACAACAAAGUUGGUUUAACCAUCACUCUUUAAAACUUGCCUUCAAGUUUUAGCGGCACCUUCUUAUCACACAAAACUCCCGAUGUGAGCUUCCAUUGGUGUGUGACAUCAUCAUCAAUCUCCCCACUACCUUAAAUAAUAGAUUCAAGGGAGUUGAAACUUCCUCUUUUUUGGAUGUGGCUAUGAAGCCUCGCUUCCCAAUCUCAUGUGUUUCAUCACUGAGCUUGCUCUCCAAGUAUUUUAAUCUUCCCUAAUAAGUUGGUAUACUAAAUUAGUUUAUCCAACUUGGAUGCGUAGCCAAAUGUUUUGCUACAUUGUUAAACUGAUUCCAUUGCUUGGCAGCUAAAUUGCUACUCCAGAGACAGAAAUUUAGAAAAAUCAAGAAGCAGAAUUAGAACAUACUAACAGCUCCUUACCAGGACUGCUAAUGUCUUGUUUGUUUCUGCAAAGCUCUACAUGCAUUGGUGCUACUGCAUUGACAAGCUCAGAGCAUGAUGUUUCUCCUACAGUAUUAGCAGCUUCGUUGCAUAUGGAACAAACAAGAGAGCCUGAGGGACCAAGGAUGCUUUGUAAAGCAGGAUCGUUUGCUCUUUCAUCUUGUGAGGAGACGCCCUGCUAAAAUUCAAGGUCUUCAGUUAAUCCAUCAUAUGCAUAUAAAACUCUAGGGUAUCAAAGUAACAAUCACAUCAAGCUUGAAGAAGAGGUGAAAACUUUGCAUCAUCGAUCAUUUCAUGUAAUGGGCACUAAAUGCAAUACACAGAAUACCCCGUAUAGCUGAUUCCCUAUACAUACAAGCUUACCCGGAACAUUUUGAUAUACCCUGAACAAGAUUCACAAAAAAAUAUCUGAUCCAAGGAAGAUAAGAAAAUGGGGCUCAGCUGUGUAGUUACCAAACAGUUUAUAGGUUAGCAAUUGCAGAACUAUAUAUUUUUUCAAAAGUGAUACAGAUCCUGGAUUUUUGACUCAAAAAAAUAAAACACACAUCUUGUUUAUCUUUAUUUUGUAGUGCUAACAAAUAAUAAAAGGCAGAAGUCAAUCUAUGAAUUAAUUUAGAUACGUACAAAGGGCAAUGAUGGAAGUAGAAGCUUUUUAUGGUUUGCAGUUACAGCAAAAAGAAAAUUUCCUAUUGGGCUUAAUUCAGAAGCAGCCUGUACUGUUAAUAGCCGACAGUCUCAAGACAAGGUUCUGAUUUUGGACAAAGCUACGAACAAAAGAUGCUUCCUUUAGUUCUGAGAGACCAAGGUAAGUGAGAUGGGCCGGAUGAAUUUCACUAAGAGAAAACACUGAGGAGUAUUAGAAUGAGAGCAUAUAAAUAUGACAAGAGAAGAAUCAAAACCAAACGGAUCAGCAAAUGCAUUUUGGUCAUACUUUAGAUGCUGUUGUGAAAAGAAUUGAAUAUCCAACACAAAUAAGGCAAUGGGCGGAGUAGUCAGGACAUUAUAAACACCUUUGGAAACCCUUACACAACUAAUGAGGGAAAAGUGCAUUCUCUAAUACCCUCUUGCAUGUGUAAUCUGGUAUUUGGGCUUAAGCGUGGAUUAAAUAUUUGUCUCUUGGUUUUUUUGAAGAAGUUGAAGAGUGUUACAAGAGAGAGAUCAAGCUAAACACGCCGAAGAGGGCGAACCCCCUUCUUUUGUCCCACACACUUCGACUUCUCUUCCUUUAUCUAAAUAUCCAACUGGAGAGUGCAUCCUCCAGUGCUAUAUCUCCUACUAAGACAGAAAAUGUUCCUCUCCCUUAAUGGAGUAUAAGAAUUUUAACAAGUUGGCAAUGGGAAGGAAAUCUUUCUUUAUUUCUGGGGACAAAUCAUUCGAAUUGUUUGAAGAACGCGAUGGCUCGUUUGUUUGGGUUGAGCGAGGACGGAGGUUUUGCAGCCAGAUUAAGCUUGAUGAGGAGAACUUAAGAUGGGUUUGCGAGCAAAUACAACAUGCGGCGUGUGGAUACGGGAAUCUUUACAGGAGGUGGGGAAGGAAGAUUCAGAAUUAUCUUUACAGGGUGUAUCAAAAUUUUAAUAGUUAUGGAAGAUACAUAAGAAUCGAAACAAGGAACGGGGAAGGGAAAUCAGCAAUAAUAAUACCAGAAGUAGGUUACAACAAGGGUUGGGGAGACAUAGCAGGGAAGAUACUUCAUUCUCUGGGAGAAGCAUCCAAUUACAAGUACAGGAAAUUCACAGAUCUGCAAAAGAAAUCUUUUCUCAAUGCUGCUGAAAUUACUCAUUGGCCUAAUCUUCAGGGAGGAAAAACUAAAAAAGUCACCAGUGAAACCACUGAUGAAAACUUCCUCUUUCUCUCAAAAUGCUUAGUCGGAUGUUUCCAUGAUCUUUCCACCAGAGCCCCAAUACUGAUAUUAUUCAAAAAUGGUUUACUUCUAGAUGGCAAGUGACAGCAAGUCUGAGGAUAACUCCCAUAGCACACAAUAAAUUUCUGUUCGAGUUCCCUUCAAAACAAGAGGCUGCUAGGGUGAAAGCAGGUGAUUAGUUUUGGAAUGGUCGUCAUCUUCACCUAGAAUGGUGGUCACCGGAAUUCAAGACUUCGCCGGUGGGGCACGGAGCAGACCAGAGAUGGGUUAAAGUGUUUGGUAUCCCUCUUCACGGAUGGAACAUGAACACUUUUCGAUAUAUCGGAGACCUAUGUGGUGGAUUUAUUGGCAUAGAUGAGGAUACAAAGAGUAGAGUGCAUUUGUUUUGGGCUUGAAUAUGCGUUAAAGCCUCUGCCACUGAAAUCCCAAGUGCAGCCGUUCUAGUGCUGGGUGAUUUGAGAUUUGGAAUCUCUAUCUUGGAGGACAAAUUAGUGGAUUCGAAGGUCGCCGGGAAUGGAGGACCAGUUGCCAGUGGUGGAGCAACAGUUGUUCCUGUGGCGGAGCGAGAUAUGGGAUUGGACAAGGCAUCCUCGAGCCAAGCGAAGGAUCUGUCGCAAUACCCACGGGUCUAUAGAAAAGAAUACAGGGGUCCAAAGAACUUUAAUUCAAAUAAGUGUCCAGUGGACCCUAGUAUUAAAAGAAAGCAGUUGUCUCAAAACCCUAAUCCCAGAUAUAACAAAGUGGCAGCUAAACAAUUGGGCCAAAAGCUAGACCACUCAUAUUAUUCAAAAGGGCAAAAGCCCAAAACAUCUACCAGAAAGAAAAUGAAGGAAUGGCUAGCAAAAAGAAGGAAAAUGAAGGAAUGGCUAGCAAAAAGACCUUAUUUUGACCCACUCACCGAAGAAAUAAAGAACACGCAAAAGAUGGGAAAAUUGAGCUGACACCUUCGAGGGUGGCAAGCGACUUAUCAUCUCAACUUGAUAAUGAAGCAGAUGACGAAGUGGAGCCGAUGGCCAUGAUAAUUCCAAUACCUAUGCAGCCAAGCGAUUUUGUAACAGUAAACAGUUCUGACGCUGAAUAUUCUUUCGGUGAUAAUCCUCUCUUUCCUUGGUUUGAAGCGACAUGUUUCUACUCAAGUCACUCACUCCCCUGAUGUAAUUGAUACUUCAAGAUGGACUAAAACUGUGAUGUUUAAGGCAUGCAAAGCCUUCGGGAUUAAUGCAGUGGGAUUUGAACAUGAAAUUCUCGACAUGGUUCUCCGAAUGGAGCAAAAGAGGCAAUCGCAAAUUGAGCAGCGAAAGCCUUCCUCCAACACCAGAACAACAACAACAACAACAACAAACCCAGUGUAUUCCCACAGAGUGGGGUCCGAGGAGGGUAAGAUGUACGCAGUCCAUACCGCUACCUCCGAAGAAGUAGAGAGGUUGUUUCCUCCAACACCAGAAACAAGGGGAAAAACAAGCAAUCUUCAGAGCUUGAAAGGUUGAGUUGGGGUAUGAAUUCAGAGGGUAGAAAGUCAAGAGAUCGGGACAGGACCUACAAAGCCUUCUCCGAAUGAAGAUUAAAAUAUUAAGUUGGAAUGUGCGAGGGCUGAACGAGGCCAAUAAGAGAACUACAAUCAAAUCUCUCAUACAUAAAUGAAAAGCAGAUACAUUGUGUCUACAAGAAACAAAAGUGGCAGAAUAGACUCCAUUUCAUAUUAGACUAGUCUGGGGGAACCGUUGGGUAGAAUGGGCGGAGCUAAAGCCAAAUGAAAGAAGUGGCGGCAUUAUUGUACUAUGGGACAAAAGAUUCUGGUCUAAAAUGGAUGUGCAACUUGGGGCAUAUACCAUCUCUUGUAUACUUGUAUACUGGAAAGCUCUCACAACCUCUUCAGGAGGUGGUGCUUCACAGGGGUUUAUGGACCCCACUCAAACCUUGAGAGGGAAGAACUGUGGCAUGAAUUGGCAGCCAUCAAAGGUCUUUGGGACGACCAGUGGGUGAUAGAAGGUGAUUUCAAUGUUUGUGUAAGAAAUAUAAGAGAAAAAUAUUAUUGAAUUGUUGUAACUACAUUAUUACAUUAAGCCUAUUUAUAGACAAUACAUUCCAAUCCUUUUCCUAAUGGGACACUACAUUACAAUCCUUUUCCAAGUAGGAUUUUAUAUGUUAUUCCUAUUCCUACUCAUAUUCUAACACUCCCCUUCAAGCUGGUGAAUAGAAGACAUAUGUACCAAGCUUGUUAUGGAUGUAACUAAUAUGAGAAUCGGUGAGGGACUUGGUGAAGAUAUUUGCAAGAAAACUGAUAAGGACUGCUUUGGACGUCUGGGAGACCUUAAUUGAAACGGAACAAACUAAAAAAAUGAUCCGAAAAGUAGUAAAUAUUGCCGUAAAGUCGAUGAGUCGCUGGAAAAUUGCCGAAAACUGGUAUAAAAUACACGGGUCAUCUCGAAAUCAAGAGACGAGUAGAUCUUGAACGUGAAAGUCACCGGAAACUUAGCCGAAACAUGCUCACACGCCGGAUUAUUAGAUUUGAUGGUUGAAAAGUGACUACAAUCUGAGGAAAAAAAAGUAUAUGGGUAGGGUCGAAAUGAUGACAUGACCCUACUGAAAAAAAGAAAUGUGUAGGGUCGGAAUGAUGGCACGACCCUAUUGAGAAAUAGAAAUUAUAUGCGUAGGGUCGGAAUGACGGCACGAUCCUACUGGAAAAGAGAAAUUAUAUAGGCAGGGUCGGAAUGAUGGCACGACCUUACUGAAAAACGUACGGAACUAUGUAUAUUAAAUCUAAAAAGUCACCCGAAAAUGCAUGGUGCUAUGCAACUCAAAUAUGAGAUAGGACUCAUCCAGUCGAAGUAACUAAGAACUUCGGAUUGAAGUAAUAAGAUUAUUGAAUCAUCAGAACUACUUCGAUAUAUCUUUUUGACUUUUUAGCCACAGAGUCUUUGUGAACCAAAAGAUGCACGGUGCUACGCAAAUCAGAUAUGAGAAAAUAGUCAUCGAAAAAAAGUACGGUGCUAAGAAAAAUAGAUAUGAAAAAGUAGUCACCGGACAGAUGCAUGGUGCUACGCAAAGAUAUGAGAAAAUAGUCACUAGAAAGAUACACAGUGAGUCAGUGACCCAACUUUUGCUAACAUAAUCAUUGGCCAGACGGACGGCAUAUAUGGAUUAUGGCCGCCCGCCGGCAGCAGAAACUCUUUUAUUCUUUACCAAAAUCGUGGAAUCUUUGAUACCAUGUGAGAAAUAUUAUUGAAUUGUUGUAACUACAUUAUUAUAUUGAGGCCCUAUUUAUAGACAAUACAUUCCAAUCCUUUUCCUAACAUGACACUACAUUACAAUCCUUUUCCAAGUAGGAUUUUAUAUGUUAUUCCUAUUCCUACUCAUAUUCUAACAGUUUGAAUGUAUGAACGUGAAAGAUACAACUGCAUCCGGAGAUCAAGGGCCAUGAAAUCUUUCACAGACACCAUUCAAGACCUGGGCAUCAUUGAUCUCCCAUUACAGGGGGCUCAUUAUACAUGGUUCAAAGGGGGUGACUCAAUGCAAACUUCUAGAAUCGACAGAUUCCUAACCUCCACAGAAUGGGAUGCAAAUUUCAAUGCUAUCAAACAAUUAGCUCUACCAAGAAUAGUAUCCACAUUGGGAAGCUAACCCUCUUACUUUAAAUUUGAAAACAUGUGGCUUCAAGUGGAGGGUUUCAUAGAGAAGGUAAAAGGUUGGUGGCAAAGUUACACUAUCGAGGGCAAUCCAGAAUUUAUUCUUCUGUAGAAGCUAAGAAGAUUAAACAAAGACAUCACAGAUUAGACCAGGGAAACUUUUGGUAAAUUGGAAGCACAAAAAAAAAAGCUACUUGAUAAACUAGCUUUACUUGAUCAAGCAGCUGAAAACAAACAUUUGUCCCAGCCCGAGAAAGAGAAAUGUUUGUAUUUGAGAUAUGAACUGGAAAAAAUGGCCAAAGCUGAGGAGAUCUCCAAGGAGGCAAAAAUCUAAAUGUUUAUGGCUCAAAGAAGGCAAUAGAAACACCAAAUUCUUCCAAAGAAUGGCUAAUUCAAAUAGAAGAAAUAAUUUCGUAGAUAGGUUAUUGAUUGGAGAGGAGAUUAUUGAGGACAAUGAGGAGAUCAAAUCAGAAAUUCUAAGGUUUUACUAGGACCUUUACAAAGAGGAGGGGCAAAGAAAACCUAGUGCAAAAUUUGAAAAUUUGGCCACCAUCACUACAACUGAGAAAGAGUGGCUGGAAAGAGCUUUUGAGGAAGAAGAAGUGCUCGCUGCAAUAAACUUAUGUGCCCCCGAUAAAAGCCCAGGCCCGGACGGCUACACAAUGGCUUUUUAUCAAAAGACUUGGGCUUUCACUAAAGCAGAAAUCAAGGAUGCUCUUAAUCACUUUCACCAGCUUUGCUACAUGGUCAAAUCUAGUAAUGCCUCCUUUAUUGCUCUAGUCCCUAAGAAGAAAAAAGUUGUAGAACUUAGAGAUUUCAGGCCUAUAAGUCUCAUUGGCAGUGUCUACAAAAUAGUAGCCAAGCUCCUGACGAAAAGGAUUAAAUCUGUAAUUGGAAAGUUGGUCUCAGGAGAGAAAAAUGCUUUCCUUAAAGAUAGACAAAUUACAGAUGCAACACUGGUGGCCAAUGAAUUGCUUGACGAAAGACUAAAAAAUGGUAUUCUUGGUAUAAUUUACAAGCUUGAUGUUGAGAAAGCUUUUGAUUUAGUUAGUUAGGCCUAUCUACUGUCUAUGCUACAGGAAAUGGGGUUCGGAGAUAGAUGGAUCAGAUGGAUCAAAUUCAGCCUCACCACUGUGAAAUAUUCUAUUCUUGUUAACAGAUCCCCAAUUGGCUUUUUCUCACCACAAAAAGGGAUUAGACAAGGCGAUCCCUUGUCCCCUUUUCUAUUUAUUCUAGCCAUGGAAGGCCCAAUCAAGAUGCUUGAAAAAGAAAGACAAUUAGUGUGGAUAGAAGGGUUUAGAGCAGGCAUCAAUGAUGACAACUCAGUUUCAGUCUCACAUCUACUCUACGCUGAUGAUAACCUUGUUUUUUGUGGGGUCGAGAAACUACAAAUGCAAUAUCUUAACCUCACAUUGCUUCUCUUUGAAGCAAUCUCAGAUCUACAUAUCAAUAUGUCAAAAAGUGUUAUCUUCCCUAUUAAUGAGGUGGCGAACAUAGAUGAAUUAGCUGAAAUUAUGGGUUGUGGUAUAGGCUCCUUCCCUACUACCUAUUUAGGUUUACCUCUGGGAGCAAAAUACAAGGCUGCUGAAGUAUGGAAUGGAGUGAUAGAAAAGGUCGAGAAGAAAUUAGCUUUCUGGCAGAUGCAGUAUCUCUCCAUGGGUGGUAGGUUGGUUUUAAUAAAUAGUGUCUACCUACAUCAUGUCCCUCUUUCCUAUGCCAUCUAAGGCUCCAUUUGUAUUUUCUAAGAUUCAGACGUCUGAAUCUGAAUGCACAUUUGAAUGAUUAAAAUGGUGUCUUUAGAUCUGAAAACUGAAUGAUUAAGACUGUUUGUUUUUCAUUAUCUGAAUAUGUAAAAAAAAAUACUUGUAUGCAUAAUAAAAUAAAAAAUAAAAUUCAAAUAGAAAAUAAAUUAUAUAUUAAAAAGGUAUGUAAUUUAAUACUCCCUCUGUUUCAAAAAGAAUGACCUACUUUGACUUGUCACAAAGUUUAAGAAAAUAAAGUAGAUUUUUGAAUCUUGUGGCCUUAAAUUAAAGUUGUGUCAAAUGUACCAAAAUGCCCUUUAAUCUUGUGGUCCUAAACAUGCUAUGUGGAAAGUUGAAAUUAAAGUAUUUCCAAAAAAGGAAAGGGGUCAUUUUUUAUAAACGGACUCAAAAAAAAAGUAGGUCAUUCUUUUUUAAACGGAGGAAGUACAAUAAAAUUAUUAGUAUUUAAUUGAGAAAAAACAUUUAUGUUUAUUAGUGAUAGUGAAGAUGGCUUAUAAUGGUGGUUGCAGUGAGAAUGAUUGAUGUUAGUGAUUAAUAUUGUUGGCGGUGAUCACUGUGAUGGUUGGCAUUGUAGUGAUUGUUACGAUGGUGGCGAUUGAUGGUGGUGGUGGUUGUUGUGAUGUGACGUUGCUUGAUGUUAGUAGUUUAAGGUGUUGAUUGCGUUGGCUGAAACAUGAAUGCAUGAUGAUUGACGAUGUGUUGGUGCUAGUUGGAGAUGUUAUUUGUUGUGAUGGUGAAAAUGGUUGUUAGUAGAGAUAAAUUGUAGCAAUUGUACUGGUUGAAGUAGUGGUAGAGGUGGCAUUACUAGUGACAAUAGUGGGGGCAGCCAAAGAAUGUGUAGAGGUUGUGAUGUAUUAGUGGUAGUUAGUGAUGGUACUAGUUGUGAUAGAUGAGUUGGUUGGUAGUAGGGAUUGGCCGCUAGUGGUUGCUGAUUGUGGUGUUGUUGACGGCAGUAGUGGUGGUGAAUAUAAUUAGAAUAUAAAGGUAGUAGGUGUGGUAGCGGUUGACAAUUGUGGUUGGUAGCGAUAUUUUUUGUCAAUGGUGGUUGUGAUGGUGGAGGUGGUAGGUGGUAAUUGACAAGGGAGACGGUGACAGAGGUGGUUAGUGGUGGUAACUGCUGAUUAUGAAUAGAGUGGUGAAUAUUAUCCAACACCAGAAUAUCCAUUCAGACCUAUUAAGACUUUGUUCUAGAUUUGAAUGAUUAAAACCUAUUCAGACCUAUUCAGAGUUAAAACCUUAAAAAAAAACAAAUGCACUUAAUGGUCUGAAGUCUGAACCAUUCAGAUUCAGACCUCCAUUAAAUGCAAACAAUUGAGGCCUAAGGUCCUGAAGCAUCUUGAUAAAGCAAGGAGAACAUUCCUAUGGAAAGGCAACUAUGAAGGGCAUAAGUUUCAUUUGGUGGACUGGUCAGAGGUUAUCAAACCAAAAAACCUGGGGGGUUUGGGAAUCAAAAACUUAUCGAAACACAAUAGUAGCUUGCUUAUGAAAUGGUGGUGGAGAUACAGUCAAGAAACUACUAGUCUUUGGAAAAGGGUGGUGACCGCCAAGUAUGGGAAACAAAAUCACUGGAGCACCAGCACAUGCAUGGCUCCCCAUGGUGUUGGACCUUGGAAACACUUAAGCAAGCUCAGAGAUGAUUUUUUCGUUGAUGUCUUGUUUGUUGUUGGGAACAAAAAUUUAGUGAGUUUUUGGAAUGACAAAUGGCUUCUCGACCAACCCUUGAAGAUCUCUCACUCAAACCUCUAUCGACUAGCUGUGAAUCCCAACUCCACAGUGGCACAAAAUAGAGCUGGAACCUCAUGGAACCUCUUCCUUAGAAGAAAUUUGCAAGAUUGGGAACUAGAGGAGAUCUUUGAUCUUUACAGAAUUUUAGAAGAUUGCACAAUAAAUCCCUGGGCCAGUGACAAGCUAAGAUGAGGCAGUUCAAGUAAGGGGUCUUACACAGUCAAGGCAGGUUAUAGUAAACUGUGUGCUCAAAAUGAAGUGACUGAACACUAACCUUGGAAGCUGAUUUGGAGAACUAAACUCCCCAAUAAAAUCAUAUGUUUUACAUGGAGGCACUCCUAACUCAAGACAACCUUUGCAGAAGAAAGUUUCAACUAGCAAACAGGUGUUUUAUGUGCCAACAUAGCUCAAAAACAGUCAACCAUUUACUUUUGCAUUGCUCAGUUGCAUCUGAUUUGUGGAACAUGUUCUUAUCAAUUUCUAGGGUUAGUUGGGUAGUGCCACGGAAUGUUAAGGACACUAUGGAAAGCUGGAGCCUUUGGGUAGUUGACAGAGCCAUCAAGAAGAUCUGGCAAAUGAUACCAGCAUGCAUUGUUUGGAGUAUCUGGAUGGAAAGAAAUCGUAGAUGUUUUGAUGGGAUUUCAACUCCUAACACUGCUCUGAAGUCCAACUGUUUGAUGUUUCUUUUUAGCUGGAGCAAUUUAACCCCUGUAAACAAUGUUAUUCCUCUUGUAGAUUUCAUUAGUUCCUUGUCUUUGGCUAACAGCCAUACUUUUUGCACAGUUAGGGAAAUGACUCAAUGUUAUAUCUGUAGGUUUUUGCAUCUAGGAGCCUUCCCUAAUUUUCUUUGUACUGUUUUCAGCAUCUUCUUAAUGCCAGUCAAUAUAACAAUUACUUCAUCAAAAAAAAAGAGUUGACUGCAUCAUGUAGCAUGAUUUAACCAAUUAAGAAUAACAGACAGACCGAAUAAAGAGCAUGUCAUUGAAAAACAUAAAGGACAAGAAUUUAUCCCAACAGGUUAUACAAAGCAAGCUUUCCAUUUUCUCAUUCUUUCCUUAAGAAAUCAAGAUAGUAACCACCCUAACCUCUCUCUGCACCGCCCGAAGAUUCAAAAAAGUAAGUAUUGUUUCAACCCAACCAAGCACAAGGCAUGCCCAGAAGCAACUCUAUGAUGAGAUUAAUAUCACCUCCAUAAUGAAGCGUUAGAUUUUCGCCUCACAUGGAUAUAGCCUAAAGGUCUGCAUAUUAUAAACGUUCCUACUUUUGGAAUGUGCCAACCAGCCUCUGCAAGCAAUGCAGAAGAGGAAACGAAAAGCUUUGGAAAACCAUGAUUUUCAGUCUUGGACUUGAUGAAGGAUUGUGAUGAGAUAUGUUUUAAUCAGAGAUACACAUUCAUUAUUAGUGCAGUUUGUAGGAUAUGUGAAUCAACACUGCUAAAAGCAGUUCUAAGUGUUACUUGUUUGUGCCACAGAAGAGAUUUCUGAACAAACACUAUACUAUCAAGUUCUAAAGAAAUUUUUAAAUUUUUGUGUGGUGCCCAUAGCCUCAUAGUGAUCAAUUAGGCAGUCUAAGUUAGCAAAAGUGUUGUCAAAAGCAAAAACAGCAAAAUGGCUCUCAGGUUUGUAGGAGCUUUAAGCGCAAAUAAAGUGUGGGCUUCAAUUUAAAAAGAAGGCGGAAAGGGAGAAAAAAAUAUAAAUAUAGGUAUAGUGCAAGAUAAAUAAUUAUAAACAAUAACAACAACAACAAACCUAGUGUAUUCCCACAAAGUGGGGUCUGGGGAGGGUAAAAUGUACGCAGUCCAUACCGCUACCUCCAAAGAAGUAGAGAGGAUGUUCCGAUAGACCCCCGGCUCAAGAUAGAGAAUAGUAAACAAAAGCGUAAUGAAACAUGAAGCAUGAUGAAUGGCACAACAUAAAAAGAGAUAAGACAUAAUAAAAUAGAAAUCAGAACAAUACGAGAUAAGAUAAAUAAGCGCAAUAUGAAAUAAGAGAUAAGAAAAGGACAUCAGGAAUACGACCCCCACCUAGUAGUAACAUACACUCACAGACCAGAGACACCCGCCACACCCAAAUCCUCCUGACCAGGGGCUCCUACAUAUGGACAUAGUCCUAGGAUUACUAACCCGGCUAUACAUGAGCUCUUGUAACUACUUGCUACAACCCACGCACACAUCCUACCCGUCUACCCUUAUUCGUGACCUCCACACCUUCCUAUCUAGGGUCAUGUCCUCAGUAAGCUGAAGCUGCUCCACGGCAUGUCUAAUCACUUUCCUCCAAUACUUCUUCGGCCUACCUCUCCUCCUCCUGAAGCCAUCCAACGCAAGCCUCUCACAUCUACGAACUGGGGCAUCCAUGCCCCUCCUCAUCACAUACAUGCCCAAACCAUCUCAACCUUCCUUCCCGCAUCUUGUCCUCCACCGAAACCACUCUCACCUUCUCCCGGACAAUCUCAUUCCUAACUCUAUCCCCUCUAGUAAGUCCACACAUCCAACGCAACAUUCUCAUUUCCGCCACCUUCAUCUUUUGAAUGCGGGAGUUCUUGAGUGGUCAACACUCUGCUCCAUAUAGCAUGGCUGGACGGACUGCCACUCUGUAGAAUUUGCCUUUAAGCUUAAGUGGUACCUUCUUAUCACACAACACUCCCGAGGCGAGCCUCCACUUUAUUCAACCUGCUCCAAUACGGUUAGAGCAAGGGAAAGUGAACGACAAAUAUACGAAUAAAGAAAUUGAAAAAAAUUACGAUAAAGUGGAAUAUCAAUUGUUUAGUAUCGCCUCUUCAUGAAAGGCUCAUUAGCAAGGGAAAGUAUGCUUUAGAACCUUGAUGACGACACUGAAGCGCACAUAAAGCGAAGGGAAGCGCACAACACGUUUUGAACCUCGCUUCGGGACUUAAGCGCACCUUUAACAACACUGAUAUAUAGUAAGACCCAAAGGCGUAUUCAUGAUUUUAAGACAAUGGAUGCACUAUUACAACAACAACAACAACAACAAACCCAGUGUAUUCCCACCUAGUGGGGUCUGGGGGGGUAAGAUGUACGCAGUCCAUACCUCUACCUCUGAUGAAGUAGAAAAGCUGUUUCCGAUAGACCCCCGGCUCAAGGCACGAGAUACCACACAAACACAUAGUGCAGCACAGAAGCAGAUUACAUAACAUAAAUACGGCACCCAUAAGUAAUAUAAAGCAGAGGAAAGCAGGGGAAAGCACACAGAUUCGUAAUACAACAUGGAACACGGAACACCUAAUCCUCUGCCGUAAUUCGCGUCUUCCAGACCUUCCUAUCUAGGGUCAUGUCCUCGGUGAGCUGUAACUGUUCCAUGUCCCGCCUAAUCACCUCACCCCAGUACUUCUUCGGUCUACCCCUACCCCGUCUAAAACCAUCCAACGCUAGCCUCUCACACCUACGGACCGGGGCAUCCGUGCCCCUCCUCUUCACGUGUCCGAACCAUCUCAAUCGUGCUUCCCGCAUCUUACACUCCACUGAAGUCACACCAACCUUCUCCCGGAUAGUCUCAUUCCGAACUCUAUCCCCUCGGGUCAGUCCACACAUCCAGCGCAACAUCCGCAUUUCUGCCACCUUCAUUUUUUGGAUGUGGGAGUUCUUAACUGGCCAACACUCCGCUCCAUACAGCAAGGCCGGACGGACUACCACCCUAUAGAAUUUGCCUUUAAGCUUGGGCGGCACCUUCUUAUCACACAGCACCCCCGAUGCGAGUUUCCACUUCAUCCAUCCCGCCCCAAUACGGUGCGAGACAUCCUCGUCAAUCUCACCGUUACUCUGGAUCACGGACCCGAGAUACUUGAACUUAUCCCUCUUCCCUACCUCCUGUGCUUCUAGCCUCACUACUACCUCAUUCUCCCGCCUCACGUCAUUAAACUUACAUUCCACAUACUCUGUCUUGGUUCUGCUCACCCUGAACCCUUUAGACUCCAGAGUUUGCCUCCACAACUCUAAUUUGUCAUUCACACCCCCUCGAGUCUCAUCUAUCAGGACUACAUCGUCUGCAAAAAGCAUACACCACGGCACCUCCCCUUGGAUACGCCGCGUCAACACAUCCAUUACUAACGCAAACAAAAAGGGACUAAGAGUAGAUCCCUGGUGCAAUCCUGUCAGGACAGUGAAAUGCUCUGAGUCUCCUCCCGCCGUCCUCACCUGGGUUUUCGCUCCCUCAUACAUAUCCUUAAUUACUCUGAUAUAUGCCUGCGGUACUCCACUCACCUCCAAGCAUCUCCAAAGCACUUCCCUGGGGACUUUGUCGUACGCCUUUUCCAGGUCGAUGAACACCAUGUGCAGAUCCUUCUUCCUCUCCCUAUACUGCUCCACCAACCUCCGUACCAGGUGGAUUGCCUCCGUCGUCGAGCGGCCGGGCAUAAAUCCGAACUGGUUUUCCGAGAUAGACACUAUCCGUCUCAGCCUCACCUCGACCACUCUCUCCCAGAUCUUCAUAGAGUGACUCAGUAACUUAAUCCCCCUAUAGUUAUUGCAACACUGAAUGUCCCCCUUAUUCUUAUAGAGGGGGAUCAUGGUACUCCACCUCCACGCCUCGGGCAUCUUUGCCGUCCUGAAAAUUUCAUUGAACAAUGCAGUCAACCACCUUACACCAGCCUCUCCAACGAACUUCCAAAACUCCACCGGUAUCUCAUCCGGCCCCGUCGCCCUACCCCUUCGCAUCCUGCGGACUGCCUGUCUAACCUCUUCUACCUUAAAACGUCUACAAUAGCUAAAAUCCCGACACUCCCCUGAGUGCUCCAGUUCCCCUAACACAAUAGCUCUAUCCCCUUCGUCAUUCAAGAGCCUAUGAAAGUACGACUGCCAUCUCUUCUUGAUGUGGCCGUCCUCCACCAACACUCUACCGUCCUCCCCCUUAAUGCACCUCACCUGAUCGAGGUCACGACCCUUCCUCUCCCUAGCCUUAGCGAGUCUAAACAACUUUUUCUCCCCUCCUUUCCCCUGUAACCCUGCAUACAAGCUCUCAAAAGCGGCCGUCUUAGCAGCCGUGACUGCUGACUUCGCCUCCUUCCUCGCUAGCUUGUACUCUUUCCUGUACACCCGCUUCUCCUCUUCGUCCUUACUUUCCACCAACUUAGCAUACGCCCCUUUCUUGGUCCUCACUUUCUUCUCCACCUCUUCAUUCCACCACCAAUCCCCCCGAUGGUGCCCGGCCCGGCCCCUAGAACUGAAUUUAGGAUUUACAUUUGAUGGAUUCAACAUUUAGGUUCCUAGCAUGAACUCAUUAAAUAUUUGAAAUUUAUAUGUUCAAUAUAAA